CACGUGAUAUACGAGAAAGAUUUGGUUCAGGUAAUUAUGCAUGUGGUUCAAGCAUCUAUCUAAAAAAAUUGUGACCACUGCCACCAUUGUGAAGUGUUCCAUAAAUAUGUUUAAUAUCCUUUGCCAUUGCCAAGACACAUGUUUUUUUCUCUACACAUUCCUUUGAACGCAGAUGCUCAAAAUUGGGGACAACAUUGACAUACCCUGGAUUGCCAAAGCACUGGAUUGUUGCACGGCAACACCAAAGUGUAGAGGCACAAGCUUGCAUUGAGGGGAUGGCAUGAGGUUAGGUUCAGCGGCAACUACUUAAGGUCUUGUUUUUCUAUCCCAACUAAUAAUUUUUGGUUUGCUUCGUCAUGUUAUUUUGGGAAGCAAGACAUGUCAUUAUCUACAAUUGCCUUGGGUACAAAAGCUUUGUCAAAUUGUUUGCAAGGUUCAGAAGGAGCUGCUCCUUUUAUUGACUAAAAUUAUAAAAACAGUACCUACUGCAAGAGAGAUUGAAUCUAAUUCUAAUGCAUUUUGGGGACUCUGGUUGUAAUGAUAAAGUUUAAAAAACGCUGGCCAUAUUGAAUUAAUCUUGCUCGAUGUUGCCUCUCCUGCCAAUUUGCCAUAUAAGUUGAUUGGUUCUGUCUCAUCUAUUUAGCUAUUGCACACCAAUUAUAUUGCAUGCAGACUCAUCAGGCUUACUUUAUAAGUGUACUUUACUAAUAAUUAGUGUUACCUAUAACGCUAUGACACUAAAAACGACAUCCUUAUUCUUUUUUGCAAUGUUUCCUUCUCGACUGCAUAUGUCGAGUGCUUUCCGCAAGCCAUCUGAAAAAAAGGUUUAAAAUGUUGCUACUUUUUUUUGCAUUAGAAGAACAUUAAUUCCUCAAAACAAAAUAAAGGUUUUGUACGAAUGUUUGUGUAUUUGUUAAAACAUUUUGACUCAGUAAAUAAAGUCCCUUUUGUAUUUCUUCUUCUUCUCUAUUACGAAUAUAAUCAAAUUUACUAUUUUGCUUCAAAUGAUUUGUUUUCUAUUAAUCCCCUUACUCCAGUCAGUGUUUCUUCGUAUAUCUCUUACAUCACUUAGUUUCAAAUUAGACAUGGUUAUGAAAACAAAUACUUUAGAUUACUGACUCAUAAACAAUUGAACAGGUUUAUCUAAAUCAAUUGGGUGUCAUUUGAAGCUAUUCCAACUUAAGCUGGUGUUGGCUCCUUUCAGCCUGCACAAAAGGAGAGAAGUGCUAUAUUAGAGUGAACAUGAUCCUUGCCACCAGCAAGUAACAGGGGAAGGUGAGGUGAGAAUUAGAAUUGUCUUCAAUUUUAGGUGUUCAUGCCGCUUCAUUUAGAGCACCUUGAGGAAGUUCGUGUCUUAGGAUGAUUAGUAUAGCUAUAGCUUACCUUAUUUGUGGAAGGCUGCAAAAUCUAGAUUUUACCAUCGCAUCAAUUUUAAAGUUCAAAGGUCCAAUUCAAGACUGCCAUGACUUGGCUACAUCACUUAAAGUAAAAGAGUCAACAAAAUUUAAGUUCCUAACAGAGUUGCUUUUCUCUAAAACUAUUUUUAGCUGCAAAGGAGUGCCUUAAUAGAAUAUUGAAAUCUCACAUGUGUUACAAAUAUGUAAUAGUUGAUGCUAAUAAUUCUGUAUUGACAUUUUCGUAGGCCACUAAUGAAUUUUCCAUAAGAAACAAAAGACAAUUUCUUCGUUUUUGCUUUGUAUAUAUGUGACUGACAUGUCAAUGAUUUUUUUCCCUCCUAUGACGCUCUUGCCCUUGUGAUGUGUCUUUACAGCACACCAUUUUAGAUCAGAUAUAACCUCUUACUAACACUAGCACAGUUCUUCCCAAACAACGCCUCACUGUUCACAUCUCCGGAAUACCACCACAUCGCUAUUGUGAUUUCACAGUCCACUGUCUUCUCAGUGAAACAUGCACAAUCCAUGCCAUCUCAUUUUGUCAUGCAACAUUAUCGUACUCAGUUGAUGUUCAUGGAUCACAAACCCUCAUGUCUCAAGCAGCACAUGUAGCACUUAGUAUGAUAACACGCUAUGGUUGUCUCCUCAACAUUUGGCCAAUAUGGUAUGACACAUAUAUGGAAGAAAUGCUUGGCCGACUAUCCUCGACAACCUAUGACCGGAUGCCAUCUUUGCAUGGAGGUAUUCACAUCCACAUCUGCAGUCUAAAUGAAAAAAAUAAUAGCACAACAUAAGUCGAAAACAAGAGAAGCUCUCUUUUUUUUUCUCACCAUCUUUUACUUGACCAUUUACAGGAGACACUCAUCUUGACAUAGAGGAGCAACAUGAAGCAUAUACGUACUCAGGUAUGUAAACACACUAUAAAAACAAUAUAUUAAUAAACAACACCAUAACAUAGACAAAACAAUUACUUUUAAUGUACCAGACGACCAGAACAAAGACACCUCCCAACCACUAAGCAAAUAAAUUUGCAUUGCAUUUUGCCUACACCUCACACUACUGAUACUUUGCAUACUAACAUAUAGCGAUGACACCCCUUCCUGAUUCUCGACAGGCAAAACACCGUACCACACCAUCCUGACACGGACUCAUCCAUCAACAUUUCACGUGAAGCAUGAACAUUGGUUAAUAGUGAUGUCUACAGCACAACCACCAAAACUCUUAAACCCAUAGCUCGCUUUCCUGUAUAAUAUUUCGGGCGCAUACUGUCAAAAUGUCUUUGAACACCACAUCUGACACAAAUAAAUUAGCACCCAACUGGAUAAUUGUGUCGUGUAAUAUACCAACCCAGCGCCCUAUGAUGCUUUGGUAUGUUGAGCCAAAUUCAGCGUGUACCAAACCUAAUGACUACUAUGAUAUAUACUCUUUUAUAUAUAAUAAAUACUAUGCUCUGUACAUUCUCCUUAAAUACCAUGAUGGCUCACUCAGGAUUGCUUAUGCUAAAGCGCAAAUGCGCGCGCCAUCAACUAGUCAAUAAAAACACCCGAACCGAACCGGCGGCGGCUGCUCGCCUGCCCGACCCGGACCCGUACUCGGGCAUUUUUUCUUUAGCGACCCGUACUCGGGCAAAUGUAAAGCUUGAUCACUAUGAAUCCAGAACUCGAGAGAAACAGCCCAGACAGCCCACGACCGGCCCAGUCUCAUCACAAACGCACGCGCACGUCGCCGUCGCCAUCGCCCCGCUGUAACCCUACCCUAGCCGCCCCGAAGCUUCCCGUCCUUCUCCUUGCGGCGGCCGCGGGCGGCGCGGCGAGUCGGCGGCCACCCGCCCCCAUCUCCUACUUGAGCCUCCCAACCUCACCGGCGCUGUCCGCCUCCUCCCCCUCCCACUCCGCACCGUAGAUCUUUCUCCUCGGCGCUCGGGAGGACCACUCAAUCCACCUUCACUUCACCGUGCGGGAUCUGAUCGCAAUCGGAUCCCCCCCGCCGGCGCCGCCGCCGCCGGGGUCGCCUCCCCGGGAGGAGCCCCGGGCCCGACGAGACGGAGGCGAGGGUAGACGACGGAGGCGAGGAGGACGAGGAGGCGGGGGAGGGGAAGCCCAUGCCGGCCGCCGGGGCCCGCCGCUCCACUCGCGUCUUCAUGCCCAAGGCGCCCAAGCCGCCGCAAUCCCAGGACCAGGCCGACCCCGCCACCCGGGUCCUCCGCUCCGGCAAGCGCCUCGCCGCCGACCGGAUCCGCUGGGACGCCAAGGAGGCCCCAGCCUUCCACGUCGACAUCAACCACGGCCACGGCCACGACCAGCAGCACCAAAAGGAGGAUUGCCCCAAACCGGGAUUGCCACCUCUGACGAAGUCCUUCGGGAUCGUGUACAGUAGGAAACGCCGCCGCCGGAGGCACUCCGCCUCCGAGGUCGUCGCCGAGGACGAGGACGGCAGCAGGAGGUUUGGGAUAGUAUAUACCAGGAGGAAGGGCAAGCGAUCGAAGGUCAGCCAUCUCCUUCCGCAAGAGCGAGCGGUCCCCUGUGACCUCGCCGCCGCGAUUCCAUGCUCCUCCUCCCUUGAGUUUGCGUCAAGAACUGGCUUCUUGGAUGCCCAUUUAUCGGCCCUUGUAGAUGGUGCCGCCACUCACUCUGGGGCUCAGACGCUGAUCAUCCUUGUUGAUACGUCUUGCCCUGGGAGCUCUCACCGGCUCCUUGGCCUUCUUCUACCCAUGCUGCGGUGGAUGUGCCGCAGUAGGCAGCGUGGAAAGUUCCAGAACCUUGCUACUUUCAUCAUGUCUGCUGGCGUAGCUGCUGCGUUUGCAUUCCAUGGGGUGCACUUUGUCAAGCUCCAGCGCCGGAGUGCCGUAAGCUUUCUACAGCCUUCAUCAGCCCUAUUUUGUUUCUGGUAUAAUUGGUGUAACAUUUGUGCUUCUUUCUGCAGUCUGCAUUGUUACAUAGGCCUCUUGCGCACUGUGGGUGGUGUGCGCUUCAUGGUUCCAAGAUAUCUGAACCGCUUCUGUCAGUUGAUUUCUCAGCACUUCCUUCAUACUUUUGGAGCUUGCAAUAUGCUGUAGCUCUUGAAUCGAUGUAUCUGCCAGCUAUGAUUCGGCACAGCAGGCUGCUGGAUGGGGGAUCUGAAGAAAUCUAUCCUCACACUCCUUUGUAUUUGGAUUCUGGGGCUCAAAGCAGUGGUUUUGCCACUACUGACGUGGGCAGCAAUGAACCUUGCAGAGUGGUUCCGAACUACAUGCCCCUUGAACAAGUUGCUGGACUAGUGGCACAUGGUCUGAGGCUAAAGAAGCAUCAAAGGCGGAGGAGAACUAUGAGACAUCCUCGAAAUCGGCGGCGGCUUAUAACUAGAUUACCUGACAAUGGAAUUGGGAUGAAGCACAGCAUGGCUGCCACGCAAACAGAAUUAAAGCUGCGAUCAAGUAGGCAAGAACCUCCAGUGGAGCCUCUCCAACCUAAAGCAACAUUAGAAAUUUCUCUUGAUUUGCUUGAAAACAUGGAUGAAAGUGAUGUUUCGACUCCCAUGGGAUCAACUAGGAGAAAGAGAUCUUCUUUGAAGAGCCCUGUCGAGAGAAUGAAUGAAAAGCUGGCCUUGGCUGAGGUGAGACAGAACAUAGAUUCUGUUCACAGCAAAGCAAACCUUCUAAAUCUUCAAGCUGAUAGGUGCUGGAGGGAAGAGGGUGCUGAAGUUAUGCUAGAACUAUCAGAUACCAAUAAGUGGUGUAUAGUUGUGAAGAUACAAGGUGUUACUAGGUACUCUCUUAAACCUUCAGAUAUGAGGUCAUAUGUCGUUAAUCGUCAUACUCAAGCCUACAUGUGGGCAGUUGAUGAUGCAUGGAAGCUUGAGUUCACUGAUAAGUGGGACUGGCUGUUAUUCAAAGAGUUGCAUGUUGUGGGCCGUGAGCGUAAUUCCCAGGGGAAGACGAUCCCAAUUCCUGGGGUACAUGAAGUUUCUGAUGACAUGGAAGGGAUUGUUACAGAUCCUUUCUCACGCCCUGUGCCAGACUAUAUCAGGAUGGUGGAUGAUGAAGUUGGACGAGCUAUCUCAAGGGAUUCUAUUUAUGACAUGGAUUCAGAGGAUGAACAAUGGCUCAUUCAGUUGAAUCAUGCAGAUUCUGAUCCAAACAGCUCUCAAAGGGACCAUAUCUCUUACGAAGACUUUGAGAGGAUAAUAAGCAUAUUUGAAAAGGAUGCCUACAACAAUCCCCAAGGAAAAAAUGAUUUGAGUGAGCUUCUUCCCAGAUAUCCUGCUUUAGGAAAUGAUGAGAAUGUGCAUGCUGUGUAUGAAUAUUGGACAAGUAAGAGGUCCAAGAGAGCUGCACCAUUGCUAAGGGUAUUUCAGGUAAUUUUGGGGUUUCUCAUACCCAUUUCCAAGCUCAACACUGCUUUGUUAUAUCAUUUCCCUUUUCUACUGUCUAGCCUUGAUUAUACCAUCUACUGAUACCAGUUACCUAUUACCAAAGCUUAAUUCUUUUUACAGCUAUGUCCUGUUAUUUCUCUUUUUGUCAAGCUUUCAUUCAGUGUAUAUUAUCUAAUUGAUACACUGUUUCAACCUUAGGGUGCACCCAUAAGGCGAGGACAUCUAUCACAAAAGUCUGCCAUGAAGCGAAAGAGAUCUUUUAAGAGACAAAAAAGCCAAGCCGGUCGUGGAAAGCCUGAAGCUUUAUUGCUAGGUAAUUACUACUGCAUAAAAAACCCUACUGAGCAAUACAUUUAAAUCUGAUAAUGUGGAAAUCCAAUCAGGAGACAGAUCUUAAUCACCUUCAAUUCUUGCGCUGUUGGAUGAGUCCCCUCCCCCACCCACCACCACCACCCAUAGAAAGAACCAUGUUUAUCUCCUUUGUUUAACAUUUGAGAUCCAUAGCAUUAAGACCUUGUCAUGGACUUCCUUCUUCUGGGGCCAAUCUUGCUAUGCACUUGUCAACAAAAUUAAAACAAUAAAAUAUGUGCCCUAAGUAUGAUACAUCUAAAAGCAACUCCAAGAGACUCUCUAUAUCAUUCCUAAUUGCUAGAAAUAGAGAUUUUGAUGGAAAAAUACUCUCCAGCAGCUUCUUUAAAUGGUUAUCCAAAUAUAGCCAUCCUCUAUUCAGUAUUUCUUGCUUAGCCUAAGUUAGUGAAAAUGGCUCUCUAGAGUGUGCUCAAGAUAUAGAAAGGCCGUUGGAGAGUGGAAAGAUAUAGAAAGCGAUUUUUAUGCAGAUGGCUUUGCAAACGAUGAUUUAGAGAGCUAGUUUUAGAAAGAUUAUUGGAGAUGCUCUAAUGGCAUUAAUCGGUGGCCAAUCUAGUAUUUAUCACAUUACUAUGGUUCUACAGAGGUAGAAUAAUCUUAUUUCAUUUGUUUGUGCAUUAUGGUUGACAGACAAUGCUGAAGAGGAGGCAGCUUUGCAGAGAGUUGCCCAAGCUGAACGUGCAGCAAAACAGGCUGUAGAAACAGCUAUUCGACUGCGCAACAGAGCCCAGUCUCUCAUGACAAACGCAGAGCUCGCGGCAUACAAAUCCAUCAUGGCUCUCAGGAUUGCCGAGGCUGCUAGGAUAUCUGACUCUUCACGAGAUAUUGUUUGUACUAUCCUCGACUAAAGAAGAAUAUGGGCUGUUCAUUGAUUUGUGUGGAGGACGUGGGAAUACUCUUUUUUCUUUGGUUGCAUCAUCGCCCAUGAUAUUGGCUUUUCGAUAAGCUGUGGGACUAUUUUUACCCCCUCUCGUGUUGUUAACUUUGUCAGGCCAAUUUUGAGGCGAAUGCUUGAACUGAAAACUGUAAUUUCUUGUAUAAAUGAAAGUAGCUAGCUAGAUUCUGUAUGUUAUGGGAACUGAUGUUCUGUAGAAAUGAUGAAAGAAAAAGUAAAAAAAAAAAAAGCAUGAGAUGAAGGGAAAUCAAGCAUCUGUUUGCAUCCCUUUGUCUUCAGUGAUAUAUGUUAUCUUUAAUGUGUCCCUUUUCUCUGUUUUUAUCAGUGUGUGUAGUGUCUCUUCUCUGAAAUUAGUUGCUUUAUAUAUAUCUUGUAAAAAUGUAAAUAAUAUUUGCCAUCGACUGUUGUAAUUGAGCCAUUGAAAUUUGUUCCCAUAAUGGAAGUAGUGAAGUAAAGGUAAUAAUAUUUUGGUUGACCCAUCACUCAUCCUAUGCUUAUUGACUCAGUUUUAUUUCACCAUGGUCCAUUUGCUAUAUUUUGAUUUAUUUCCACUUAGUUAUCUAUACAAUACUCCUAAAGUUGGAGCACUGGAGCCCUCUCACAAAUCACCAGCACCCCCUCACACAGCACUGUUCCAAGCACAGUAACAUUUUACCACCGCAGGAUCUCUAACCUCCUCACUACAACCAUCCAUGUCUUCCACGUUCCGGGUUUCUAUCCUAUCGCAUCUCCUCCUGAAUUAAAAAAAAAAGCAUAUCAUAUUCCCUCAUUCCCUCGUCAAUCAAAAAAAGAGUACUGCAUCGGCUACAUCCUCGCUUCAGACCGUGGCAUCCCCGGGACGCCAUCCUCCUGCCGUGGGCACCUCGCCUCAUCCUAUGAUUCGCCUCCCUUUGCGCUCCUCCACGAUGCGCCCAUAUACUGGGUGCCGCGGGUGCCCGUAUAUUGGACCUAUAACCUAUAUGUACAUAUUGGUUUCAGAGCACAGUCUUCACGAUUGGAGCUGCAGCAUAUAUGUAAAUAUGCACUUCUGUUUUUACUGCUUUAUGCUUCUACAAUACACUUUCAGUAACAGAAGUGAUAUCACAACAUUUUAUCACUUCCCUACCCCUUGUGUUGCGCAGGGUUUCCUGCUAGUCUUCACUAUUUUUUGUGUGUAUUCGUUGUUGUUUAUUUGUUGAGAUAUUUAUCUGUAUAGCCUUAAAAAACAUGUCUUUUUCUUGUGGCCUUAUUUUUUUAAGAGUAAAGUUCAUUAUCAGUCCCUAAACUUGUCUGGGUAUGUCAUCUUGGUUUCUAAACUUGCAAAACGAUACCUGAACUUGUUUGGUUGUAUCAUCUUAGUCCCUAAAUAUGAAAAUCUCUCAUGUAGGUCCUCAAACUUGUUCGAUUGUGUCAUCCAGAUCCCUAAACUUAUUUUUAAGUCUCAUUUGGAUAAAAGAAGUCGAAUCUAAAAACUCUAUAUCAAAAAAUAACUCAUAACUUUUCAUAUGAACUCAAAUCAAGAUAAACUAUCAAAAUUAUAGCCAGCAAUGCGAUCUACAACUUUAUAGUUGAAAACUUUUUAAAUUAAAAUCAUCUAGGGUCCCAAAAUGUUUUUUGUACGUUUAUAGGUUUCAAAAUUUAAAAAUUUAAAAUAAAUUUUGUGACACUAAAUAACUUAAAAUAAAAAAUUCUACUACAAAGUUGUAGAUCGUGUUAAGGGCUACAACUUUGAUAUAAGUUUUUCUUCAUUCGAGUUCAUAUGAAAAAGUUAUAAAUUAUUUUUUCCAUUUAGAGUUUUUAGAUCGCUUUGUUUUGACCUAGAUGAGAUCUAAAACCAAGUUUAGGUACUGGGAUGAUACAAAUUAAUAAAUUUGUUGACUUAAAUGGGUGAUUUCUAAGUUUAGGGACUAGAAUGACAUAGCUAAACAAGUUUAGGGACUGGGAUGACAUAGACGAACAAGUUCAAGGACGUAAAUGAUCGAUUUACGAGUUUAAGGACCGAGAUAACACAAAAGUACAAGUUUAAGGACCGGGGUGGACUUUACCAUUUUUUAAAUUUAUGUGACCUUAAAAUACAUGUGCCUUAUUUUUCUGUGGCUCAUUGUUUUUUUGAAUUUACCUACAUGGCCCGAGAACAAAAAAUCUCUUUCUUCUAUCAUCUUUCGUCCAAUUUAGACCACUAAAAUAUUUUCCUUCUUUGGUCUUUCGUCCAAUUCAGGCCACUGAUGGUGUGUGGAGUAAAAUGGACGAAAAGAAUAAAGUUUUAGCAGAAAAAUUGUAUCAUCGUAUGAAGACGAUUUUUAUAUUAUAAUUGUAGCUCUUAAUAAGAUCUACAAGUUUCUAGUUUUAAGUUUUUUAAUUUAAAAUCUUUAAGAUACUCAAAAAUAUUAAAUAAAGUUUUAGUAGUAUAUUAAUCGUGUAUAACACUGGUCGUCUUGGAAAAAUUAUAUAUUUCUUAUAUGAUGUUAAAUAGAGAUGCAUUAUAAAUGAAAGUUAUAGCUUUUAGUAUAAUCUACAAUUUUAUAGUUUUAUUUUUUUCAUUUAAGAUUAUUAAGAUGCUCAAAAAAUAAUAUAAAUUUCAGCAGCAAAUUAAAUCGUGUACAAGCCUAGAAACUACAAUUUAUGUACUAUAACGUGUGACCUUAUUUGCGGAAUAUUACUCUAAAUCUAAAACAAACAAACUAAUGUAUAUUUAGGUUUGUUACAAAAGCUAUAUUUUGAAAAAAGUCAGAAUAAUUUAUAAUUUGGAACAGAACGAGUAGGAUUCAUAUGGUGUUAUUUUGUGUGUGCAAUGGUUACAAAAUGCUAAUUUGAAGCUAACUUGUGUCUUUGCUAAUUAUUGCUUGACUUUGUUCUUUUUUAUCCAUGUGUAUUUCUGUUCGUACUUUGUUAGAGCAACUCCAACCAUUAUACAAAUGGAUUUGGCAUUUACCAAAAUGCAUAAAACUCUAAAAAAAACCCCUCCAAUCGUUAUGCAUUUGGACUUUGCAUUUUACAUAACUAUGUAUUUGGAGGGGGAAACUUGGCAUAUAUGCCAAAGGAGUCCGGCUAUGCAAAUAGAGAUCACGGGAUUCUCAGUUCCACCUCGCGGGCUUUUUUCUUCCCUUCGCGCGGUUUCCCUUCGCGCCGCCACCACUUCGCGCGAUAGGAGAAGCAUUGCGCGUCCUCCUUCGCCAGCUUCGCGCGCGCGUUUGGACGAAGCGGCUAGAUCCAUUCUCCGGUACCCUCGAUCCCAUGUUGGCUUCACGAAAUUCUGCUGCUCGCGAGCUGCAACGGCUUGACUGAUGGCGGCGACCUGCCUUGACGACGAACUGAUGGCGGCGAUCGGAAACUAAUGGGGAACAUGACCUGAUGGAGAUCGGUACUGGAGCCAAGGGGCGAACCUGUACGACGACGAACUGAUGGCCAACAGACGACGAACUGGUACGGUGAACGGGAACUAACGGAACGGGCUACUGCGAGGCUGUUUGGCGCGAGAAUUGGUGAACGGGAGACGAUGGCGGGCUGUUUGGCGCGGGAUCGAUUGGCCGCGCGGGAAGGAGUGCCGCGAAACAAAAUUUCCGGAAAAAAAAAGAUGAUGGACUUGACAUUUUGCAUAACGGUUGGAGAUCACCCGAUUUUAGCCUUGCUAUUUUCAUUUGGGGGUUUGCAAUUUGCCUAAAAUGCAUAACUUCAAAUGCAUAAUGGUUGGAGAUGCUCUUACACGAUGCAUCUGUGUAGGGCCUAUUUAAUUCCUCAUUUGGGCCAAAAAAUUUUAUGUUUUGGUUCACCAUUUUGCAGAAUGAAAUUAAAUAUCAUCUAAAUUUUUUAGAGUUGCCAUUUUGCACUAUAGAUUUUGGUGUCAAGAGCCAAAAAAAGCAUCUUCAUGUAUUUUGGACCCUAAAAAUUUUAGCAUUUUGGAUGAAACUAAACACACCUAUAAAAUUUGGCAUUUUACAUUUUAUCAUUCUAAAGUAUUUGGUAUUUUGCAUUCCAUUGAAAACUAAACACGCCCUAUGUAUUAUCUAAUAUACGAUUUUUUUUUCAAGUUAGCCAUUUUCAAUAUAAGAUAUUUUUCAUAAACUCGUAUACUAGUAACUUUUUUGUACUGUAUUGUAUUGUUGAUGGUAGUUGUAUACUUGUGUUAGAGCCCAUUCACUGGUGCGAAAAGCUAUGAGAGAAAAAUAUCGCUGCCUGACAGGCUAAUAUUUGUUUGAGAUAUAAUCGGCCCCUUGCACUGUUGCAUGAUUGGGUAUUAGCACCGGUCGGGAAGGGUUCUGUUGCCUCGGUUCCCGAGCCGGUGCUGCCCUUCCGGGACUAAAGCCCCACCCUUUAGUCCCGGUUCGGGAAACCGGGGCUAAAGCCCCCCCUUUAACACCAGUUGGUAAUACACCAACCGGUGUUAAAGAGGGCAGGACUCUUUAACACCGGUUGGUAUUACCAACACCAACCAGUGUUAAAGGGGUUCUUUUUUUCUUUUUUUUCGGUUCAUUUCUUCGGUUCUGUUUAUUGUUUUUAUAUAAUAAUAAUAGGUUUGUCAAUACAUAUUUUAUGCUGAUAUAAUAUAUAUAUAUAUAUAUAUAUAUAUAUAUAUUACACGCAUAUUAAGCAUAUAUAAAUGGAAAUUAUAGGCUUAGCUUUAUAAUUAAGCUUUGCCUAUAAUAAAAUAAAUAGUCCACAUCAAUAAUUAAAUAGAUGGAUAUGUAAAAAGCUUUAUAUAUAGUUUUAUAAGUACAAAAUUCGUAACACAUAUAUACAUAGAGUUUUUUCUCCCAAUGUCUAAAACCGAUACAAAUGAUCAUCGUUGUUUAGAAUAAGAGUUCCGUUGCCGUUGAAGUGAAACUCGCCGUUUGGAUUGAUCACUUUCUCACGGAGAAAUCCUGGUAUCGUCUCUUGAGUAGCUUUGAUGCGGUCUUUUUGCAUGACCUUUUCCCUCAACCAUUCCGUCUUUAAUUUGAAAUAAAAUAAAAAAGGUAUUAGUUAUCUAAGUUAUUUAAUAUAAUUAUGGAGAUAAUGAAAAGAGAUAUGCAACGUACUCUGAGCAUCUCUGUGGGUGUUUGAUUGACUUUUGCCAUUAUGAAUUUGCACAUGUAAUAUGCACAUAGGUUGUUUCCCCCUUCUUGUGUUAAACACCACUGUACGAUAUAUAUAAAAAAUAUUCACGACCACGACAAUAAGAAGGCUAAAAGUUAGCGAAAGUUUGCUAGCUAGUACAACUUACUUGUAGAUGAAUUAUAUUAAGAGGCGCUUUACAACCAAUGAGAUGUUCACGGUCAAUAAAUCUUUCCCAAACCCUACACACAGCCAUUGUGGAUCAUGAACUAAUAAUUACAGAGUCAUAUCAUGAUAUUCUUCUAGCUGAGAUCGAUAUUACGUACCUUUGAAUAAUGAUUACCAUUUACUGAUAAUUAAUUUUCUUGUGGUUUUCUCAUUGAGUCAAAGAUUAUCAACCGGUUCUUGGGAAUUUCAAUGACCAUGAGUAUCCAGUGAAAGCUGUUUAUAUAUAUAUAUAUAUAUAUAUAUAUAUAUAUAUAUAUAUAUAUAUAGUCAGGCCUAUAACUAUAUAAAACUCGUCUCGAGUAAUAAUAAGUAAAAUAAAAUGUGCAUGCACUUAAUAACUAUAUAACUCACUCGAAGUUGUAGGGGAAGAGUAUGUUUGUUUUUCUUUUUGGUUCACAAAGAACCUCAUAAGAUUGGUGCAGACUUCUGUCUCAUGAGAUGUUGUCCACACUGCGUGCGGAGCCUUGAAAACAACAUAAGGGUCAACGAACCCAAUACUAUUGCCAUUUUUGCUUCUGAGCUCUCUCAUUUGGUGCCUGCAUAUAUACAUACAAAUUCUAAGUGUGUAAGGAUUAUAUACAUAUAAUUAAAGAAGGUAGAAGUUUAAUAAAAAAAAUACUUACAGACAAAAGCAGCUGACAAGAGAUUUGUCGAAAGCAGCUGACAAGAGAUUUGUCGAGAGCGUCGUGGUGACAUAAUUGGUGCAAUUCUUCAAACUGGACGUAUAUGAGGUCAUCUCCACGAAAGUAGUGAUGUUGUCUAAUACGAACAGAAAUCCAAUUAUCUCCCCUUUUAGACGCCUCCAUACACCACUUGUUUAUUGCAAAUAUUUGUGUGCCGAGCUCAUGUAAAUGCUGAGGGUUGAAUAGACUCCUGUCCGGUUCAUAUCUUGUCCUCCAUUGAUCAACUACCUCAGCUUUUUCAAAAGUUUGGCAUCCAACAAUGGUGGCAAUGUCUUCAAUAUUUAGACCGCUCUGUCCAAAGUAAUGCUCAAGCGAAUCUAGCUCAUACAAGAUUAAGGAUUUCUUUAGCAUCAAGUCUUCAUUUGAGCCGUAUUGAUUUGGCACAAUCAAAGGGGCACCGAUUUUGAUACUUCUCCGAGCUGUGGGACCCUCUUUCCUACACUCUUUCUAGGCUGUGAAGACUUGACCAAAGACUGCUCAUAGUUUGAAAGUGUUGGCUUUUUCUGAGCUUCCCGCUUCUUCUUUUGCUGGUCCGCCACCUUCUUCCUCAGUUCCUCUGGCUUUACAUAAAAGUACAGCUUUUCUAGAUUUAGCCACUCUUUUCUUUCCUGCUUCAAUUUAUCGAAAAAUUAUUUGACCUCAGCUUUGGAUGUAGCAAUUACCUCCUCUUCACUCUUUUCAUAAGAUAAUUUCUCUGGUGUCUUAGCUUUCUUUGCUGAGGCAGCCUUCUUUGGAGGUGGGAUCGAUGACUUCGGUCGUUCUGGAGCGGACCGCUUCUGACUACCUCGCUUUGGAGGCGAUGGGACCGACCGUGUACUCUUUGGAGAGGGCGGUGGAGGUGGUGGGGCCGAUCUUUUUGGUGUUGGAGAACGUGGUGGAGGAGUUGGAGACCUCGGUGGAGGAGGUGGAGACCAUGGUGGAGGCGGUGGCGGGGUCGGUGUGGCCGCCGCAGGUGUUGGAGGAGAUCCAACAUUGUCACCGCCCACAGCACUAUGAUGCGCUGGGGAAAGAACUGGACUUAGGUUGGAGGAGUCCCUGCAGAGAAAACAAUAACAAGUUCUGUGAACAAACUUUAUUUAAAUGCAAUACAUAAUAAAUAAUAUAAGAAGUAAACAAUAGUGACAUUCCUAGAAUAAUUAUGAAGCGCUUGCGCCAACAAAUAAACGUCUUCUCAGCUUCACCUAAGUUCUUCUCUCCGUAUCCCCCUUCUAUUUCUAGAGGCACACUGCCACAACCUUUCUCAACCCUAUCAACCGAGACGCUAGCAUAUCCAGUUGGCACUGGUCGAUUAUGGAUUCUUGGAGUUCUCGUUUGGUCGAUAGGGUUGACAACACCGGUAGCCACCUUUUUUGUUGCAUUUCCAUCUGGUACAUGUAGCUCAUAAGUAGUAAAAGCCUCUGUAACAUCAUCCACGUGGAAGUGUAGCUUCGUGUCAUCCUGAAUGGUUGGUACUUCCGUGGAUGCGCAACUGCUUUUCAACUGGCCUGGGGGCUAACGUUGACCUCAGGCUGUGAUGUACCUUGUCCUUUCAUUAUUUGACUAAGUGCUGCUUGCACUUGCCUUUCAAUCUCCGCCUGCAUCCAUUCUUCAUGAGAUUUCUCGUGCUCUUGUGACUGCAGAACAAAAGCUUCCAGCCGGCGGAUCCGCUCUGCCUCCUCAUCCUUCUUUCUCUGGCGGCUUCUGUAGGUUUCUUGAUCAGCUUGGAAUGAUUGCAGCCAUGGAACUACCCCAUAGCCUCUCGUACGCCCACCGUGCUCAGGAUUUUCAAGCGCAUACGUGAGUUCAUCCUUCUUCCUGUUAGGCCUGAACUCACCAGACUGAACCACCUCUCCUGCAUGGACUAGUCUCUCUGCUACUCUAGAGAUUUCUUAGCCCCAAACUAGCACCCCGGUGUCUAGGUCCACGCUUUCCCCAUGACCGUAGAACCAAUGCUUGGAGCGCUCGCUCCAAUUCUUUGCUAUUGUCUCGGGUGUGACCCCCCUAAUAAGCAUCUCCUGUUCCAUUCUUUCCCACUUGGGAACAACACUCUUAUAACCACCUGAUCCCAUAUGAUGGUGGUAUGUCUUUUUACUUGCAUUUUCUUUGUUCUUAAUGGCUCGUUCCUCGCCCUCUUCUGAUAUUUUGUACUGCACGAAGUCAUCCCAAAAGGCCCUCAGCUUUACAUAUUGCUUGAGGUUGAAAUUUGGAGUCUCGUUUUUCUUGACAAAUUUAUUGUACAAAGACUUCUUCCAAUUCUGGAAUAGUACCGCCAUCUUCUUCAUAGUCUAGUCAUAAAUUCACACCUUCAACUCUUCAUCGUUAGUGUCGAAGGUGAAAACCGCCGUGCCGACUUUCCAAACUACUUACCACGAUCAGAGACAAAACUGAUUUCAGGAGCACCUCGCUUCUCUCUCCAUUCACGAGCACUGAUCGGUAUUUGGUCUCUCACAAGGUAUCCACAGUGACCAACAUAUUUAUUUGCAUGUUCACCAAGUGGUCUGCCUAUAGCUAUCUCAAACUCAGAGGUUACGUAGCGGCCCUCCAACGGCUUAUUUGGCCCUCGUGGAGGUAAGCUUCUCCCCGUAGAGGUCGAUCCAGAAGGCUACACGUAGAUAUAAAAACAAAAAUACUAAAUUAAUAACCAAGUAAGUCUAAAACCUAAUGUAAAGAUGCAUUAUAUAUGUUUACAUUUACAUACCUCGCCGGUAUUUCCUUCUUGUUGCACGACAAGUUGUUGCUCAGGCGCAUUACCCUCUUGUUGCUCAGGGGCAUUUCCCUCUUGUUGCUCAGUCGGAUUGUCUUGCACAAUCUCGUUGUAAUCAAUAAAGUACUGACCACUGUCGUCGAUCAUAUUUUGAAUGUCAUCUUCUAUAUAAUUAGGAUCAUCAUAAGGACGGUCGGCCAUUUCUAUGUCUGCAACCACAUAUACAUAUAUAUUCUAUAUAAGAUAAGAAAUACACUAGAAUAAUAUAAGUUCUAGAGUGCUCCAAACUAAAAAAUAAUACUAACAAUAACAUAUGAAAGUGCUAGAGUGCUCCAAACUAAAAAAUAAUACUAGAAUCCUUUAAGCCAAGUAAUACACUAGAAUAAUAUACUAAAAAUAAUACUAAAAAAUAAUACUAGAAUAAUAUACUAGCAAAAUAUAUUUCAUAACAAUUCAAAACACUACAAUUCAUAAUAUACUAGAAUAGUAUACUAAAAAGUCUUUUAAGCCAAGUAAUACACUAGAAUAAUAUACUAAAAAAUAAUACUUUAAAAUAAUACUAGAAUAAUAGUACAAACAAUAAUAUAUACAAAACUCUAGAAUUAAUAAUAUACUAGAAUAAUAUACUAAAAAGUAAUACUAGAAUAAUAUGCUAGCACAAUAUAUUUCAUAACCAUUCAAAACACUACAAUUCAUAAUAUACUAGAAUAAUAUACUAAAAAGUCUUUUAAGCCAAGUAAUACACUAAAAUAAUAUACUAAAAAAUAAUACUAAAAAAUAAUACUAGAAUAAUAGUACAAACAAUAAUAUAUACAAAACACUAGAAUUAAUAAUAUACUAGAAUAAUAUACUAAAAAGUAAUACUAGAAUAAUAUACUAGCACAAUACAUUUUAUAACAAUUCAAAACACUACAAUUAAUAAUAUACUAAAAUAAUAUACUAAAAAAGUAUUUUAAGCCAAGUAAUACACUAGAAUAAUAUACUAAAAAAAUAAUACUAAAAUAUAAUACUAGAAUAAUAGCACAAACAAUAAUACUAGAAUAAUAUACUAAACUAAAAUAUAUAUUACAGACUACAUGUAUACUAGAAUAAUAUACUAAAAAGUAAUACUAGAAUAAUAUACUAAAAACUAAUACUAGAAUAAUAUACAAGCAUGCAUUAUUUUUUAGUGUAUAAAUAUAUACUUAAAUAUAUAUACAAAUCAAAACACUACAAUUUAUAAUAUACAUAUAUUUUUUAGUGUAUAUAUAUAUAUAUAAUUCAGUGUGGUCUAGUGUGUGUAUAUAUAUAAUACAGUGUGGUUUAGUGUAUAUGUAUAUAUAUAUAUAUUUUUAGUAUACUUAAUUAAUAUGUUAUAAUUCAUAACAAUUCAGUGUGGUAGUGUAGAGGGAUGGCCGGAGUACGUGAUCUAGCGCGCGUAAAGAUGGCCGGAGUUCUCGGUGUGUCGUCCACGUACGGCGCAGCGACGCUGGUGGAGAUCGAUGGCCGCAGCGGCGAGCUGGAGACGGCGGCGCGACGCUAGAGACGAGGUCACGCGGCGCUGCAGUAGACGAACGGCCGGCGGCGCAGGAGACUAGGGCUGCUCGACGAAGACGAAGGAACUGUUUAGAUCCAGCGCGUAUAUGCGCUUAUAUAGGGGCAGACCCUUUAGCACCGGUCCGUAGCUGGAACCGGUGCUAAAGGGUCUUUAACACCGGCUGGUAACACGAGCCGGUGUUAAAGGGUGACCCUUUAGCAUCGGCUCGUGUUACCAGCCGGUGCUAAAGAGACCCUUUAGCAUCGGUUUUAGCCACGGGCCGGUGCUAAAGGGUCCUUAGACGGGCUCGGAUGGGGUUCUGAAAUUUUCAUUUUGAAGACCCGUUAGCACCGGUUCCAACCAUGAGCCAGUGCUAAAGGGUAUGUUUUUUAGUUUAGGGUUUUUAAAGUGUUUAUAUAUACACUUUACAUUAUAAAUUGUAUAGUAAAUUAAAUAUUUUGUAUAAUAUUUUUUAAAAAGUGACAUGUAUUGUAUUUUUUUAAUGUACACAUAAAAAUUUUUAACCUUAAAUAUCUUACUAUAUUUUUUAAAUUUGCAAUAAUUUUGUAAGUAAUGUUUAGUAUUUUGUUAAUGAAAAAAUAUAUUAUUCCAAUAAAUUUACAAAAACUAUAUCCAAUCAACUGGAAAUCUAUUUUCACAUCAUAUUGACGUUAAACUUUUUAUUUUUGUCAUUUAUUACUCAGAAUGCUAGUACGGUACAAUUUUCAUCAAAUAAAAAAUCUAUUUAUCAUAUAAAAAUGUAGAUCUUGAUGAAUACACCCUUUGACCAAACCCUAGAUGGUCCCAACUAGAAAAGUCAUGAAUACAAAGUUUGUUACACUCAUCAAGUUCUACAUUUGGUCUAAUGGUCAACUUUUCAUUUGGAAAAGUUUGAAAUCACUCAAUUUUGAAUUUUGAAAGAAUUCAUAGGCACGCAUCGGUUUCGGAACCCUAGAUGGUCUCGAAUGGAAAAGUCAUGAAUACCAAUAUUGUUCCACUCAUCAAAAUCUACAUUUAAUAUAUAGACCAUUUUUGCAUUUGACAAAGUGUUGGGAAGGUGUAGUUGAAAAUCCAUAACUGACAUAUGUAGUUUCAUAUAGUUUGUGUGAGAUUAAAGAUUUGGUGGGUAUUGUUAACUUAAACUUUCUCAAAUGGAAAAAUUUUGUAUAUAAAAAGUUUAUAUCUUGAUGAUAUCUAAUAACUUGGUAUUCAAAAUUUUUUCAUUUUAAGUAAUUUAGUUUGUCAUUUGACCAAAACCCGUGUUGGAUUUUAAAGAAAUGUGCUUAGGAUUGGCUCAAAUUUAUCCAAAUGGAAAAAUGGACAAUAUAUCAAAUGUAGAUCUUGAUGAUCUCUAACAACUUUGUAUUCAUUUUUUUAUUUGAAGUCAUCAAAUGGGUCAUUUAACCAAGUUUGACCAAAGUCAAAGCAUUGGUUUUUACAAACACACCCUUUGACCGAACCCUAGAUGGUCCCAAAUGGAAAAGUCAUGAAUACAAAGUUUGUUACACUCAUCAAAAUUCACAAUUCUCAAAUAUAGUUUCAUACAAUUCUUAGUAUUCGUACAUUUUACAACACAUACUAUUAAACAUAACUUUAUAUUAAGCCGACACAAUAGUGAACUUCUUCUUGAUGUAUGACCCUUGGUUAUGAUCCUGCCGUAACCAUGGAGUAUCCUCAUUGUUUAACAGAAUGCUUGGGUCUUUGUUGACUAUGAAGGGCGGAAUUCGAUCAUCCCUUUCGUAAUCGCCUGACAUGUCUGACUUGUCCUCAAUUCCGACAAUGUUUCUUUUCCCAAAAAGGACAAUGUGGCGCUUUGGCUCAUUGACGAUUGAGUGGUCAUCAUUUUUUCCUCUCUUUGGUUUCGUAGACAUGUCUUUCACAUAGAACACCUGACUCACGUCUGCAGCAAGGACGAAUGGUUCGUCUUUGAACCCACUAUUGUUAAGGUCCACGGUUGUCAUCUCAUACUCCUUAUUGACUAUUACCCCACCUCCGGUCAUCUUCACCCAUUGGCACCGGAACAAAGAAACUUUAAAAUUAGCUGCAUAGUCUAGUUCCCAUAUGUCUUCUAUGCGUCCAUAAUAUGUUUGUCUGUUCCCAUUUGGAUCCAUGGCAUCCACACGUACACCACUAUUUUGGUUGGUGAUCCUUUUAUCUUGGCCAACUAUGUAAAAUGUGUUACCAUUUAUCUCAUACCCUUUGUACGUGAGGACAUGCCAUGAUGGUUUCCUGGCCAACAAAUAAAGCUGCUCAUUAAUGUUUUCAUCACCCUGACAUUUUUUGUGCAACCAAUCGCCAAAAGUUUCCUUGUGCUGAUGCAUUAUCCAAGCUUCAUUCUUCCUAGGCCAUUGGGACCGUAGGAAAUCUUUGUGUACCUCAACAUAUGGUUCCACCAAUGAGGAGUUCUGGAGAACUGUGUAGUGUGCUUUAUUGAAGUAAUCGUCACCCGUACCAAUAUAUGUUUUCUUCCCAAAUGUUCCUUUUCCGCUGAGUCUGCCCUCGUGUCGAGAUUCAGGAAUGCCAAUUGGGUCAAGGUCUAGAAUAAAGUCAACAUAGAACUCUAUGACCUCCUCUAUUCUGUAGCCCUUGGCAAUGCUUCCUUUUGGGCGGGAACGACUAUGGACAUAUUUCUUUUGGACACCCAUGAAUAUCUCAAAGGGGAACAUGUUGUGUAGGAACAUAGGAUCGAGAAUACGAAUCUCUUUGAUCAGAUGAACUAGGAGGUGUGUCAUGAUAUCAAAGAAGGAUGGAGGGAACACCAACUCAAAGCUGACGAGACAUUGAACGACAUCAUUCUAUAGAGUAGCUAGUUGCUCUAGAUUGAUUGCCUUCUGAGAAACUGCAUUGAGGAAUGCACAUAGCUUUACGGUGGCUAGACGUACGUGUGGAGGUAAAAUUCCUCUUAAAACCACCGGCAACAAUUGCGUCAUUAGAACAUGACAGUCAUGGGACUUUAAGUUCAGGAAUUUCGUCUCUGGCACAUUAAUUAUUACCUUGAUAUUGGAGGAGAAUCCAGAUGGGACCUUGAUGUUGCUAAGACAUUCAAACAUGCUUUCCUUCUCUUCUUUGCUCGGAGUGUAGCUAGCAGGGCUUAAGUAAUGACGUCCAUCAUCUGUCUUUUCUGGAUGCAGGUUGUCUCGUUCUUUCAUGCGCUGCAAGUCUUGUCGUGCUUCAAGUGAAUCCUUAGACUUCUCGUAGACACCCAUGAAUCCGAGCAAGUUCACACAAAGAUUCUUUGUCAGAUGCAUCAUGUCGAUCGCGUUGCGGACCUCUAGGACAUUCCAGUAAAGUAGCUCCCAAAAUAUGGAUUUCUUCUUCCACAUGGGUACGUGUCCCUUAGCGUCCUUGGGAAUAGGUUCGCUGCCUCAUCCCUUUCCAAAUACCACUUUUAUAUCCUUGACCAUUUCGAGUACAUCAUUCCCAGUUCGAUUGAGAGGCUUGGUCUGGUGGUCUGCCUUGCCUUUGAAAUGCUUGCCUUUCUUUCGUACUGGGUGGUUCACAGGAAGAAACCGACGGUGGCCAAGGUACACGACCUUUCGACAUUUUUUCAAAAAUACACAGUCAAUGUCUUCAUAACAAUGUGUGCAUGCAUUAUAUCCCUUGUUUGAUUGGCCUGAAAGAUUACUCAGAGCUGGCCAAUCAUUGAUUGUUACAAACACCAAUGCUCACAGGUCAAAGUGCUCUUGUUUGUACUCAUCCCACACGCGAACUCCUGGUUUGCUCCAUAAAAGUUGAAGUUCCUCAACUAAUGGCCUUAGGUAGACAUCGAUGUCGUUGCCAGGAUGCUUCGGUCCUUGGAUAAGCACCGGCAUCAUAAUAAACUUCCGCUUCAUGCAUAGCCAUGGAGGAUGGUUGUAGAUACAUAGAGUAACUGGCCAAGUGCUGUGACUACUGCUCUGCUCACCGAAAGGAUUCAUACCAUCUGUACUUAAGGCAAACCACAAGUUUCUAGCAUUAUCUGCAAAAUCUGGGAAUUCUCUGUCUAUCGCUCUCCACUAGGAUCCAUCGGCAGGGUGUCUCAGCAUAUUGUCUAUCUUACGGUCUUCUUUAUGCCACCGCAACAACUUUGCAUUGUCCUUAUUUCUGAACAGACGUUUUAAUCGUGGUAUUAUAGGAGCAUACCACAUACCUUGGCAGGAAUUUUCUUCCUAUGACAUUCUUCACCCUCAACAUCGCCAGAAUCAUCUCGCCUGAUCUUAUACCGUGAUGCCUUACAUACUGGACAUGCAUCCAAAUUCUCGUAUUCCUCCCCACGGUAGAGGAUGCAGUCAUUAGGACAUGCGUGUAUCUUCUGGAUUUCUAAUCCCAAAGGGCAGACAACCUGUUUUGCUUCAUACGUAGUGGUGGGCAAUUCGUUGCCUUUUGGAAGCAUCUUUUUUAUGAUCUUCAAUAACUGCCCAAAUGCCUUGUCAGAUGUACCAUUCUUUGCCUUCCAUUGCAGCAAUUCCAGUAUGGUACCUAGCUUUUUUUCCCCUCUUCAGCGGUGGGAUAUAGCGAUUUCCUGUGGUCCUCUAGCAUGCGCUCGAACUUGGCUUUCUCUUUCUCACUUUCACAUUCUCUUUGUGCAUCACGGAUGGCAUCACCAAAAGCAUCAUCGCCCCGAUCAUCUUCUGUGCUACCUCUUAUUCAUUAUCUCCCCCCAUUGCAACAUCAUUGAAGCCACCGUACUGAGCAAUAAUGUUGGCGUGGUCCAAUUCUUCUUCUUCACCUUCAUCCAUUAUAAUCCUGCUUUCUCCAUGCUUGGUCCAACAAAUAUAGUUUGGUACGAAACCAGACUUUAAUAAGUGCGAAUGAAGAGUUCUUCAAUAUUCUGUCAAAUUCUUGCACACGGCACAUGGAUAGCACAUGAAACCGUCCCUUUUAUUUUUCUUGGCCACACUAAAAGGUCGAGAUGGUGGACUAGAGGGGGGUGAAUAGUCCUUUCUAAAAACUAUCGUACCGGCUAACCAAAACAAAUGCGGAAUUAAAUCUAUCGGCCUAGCCAAGACUACACCCCUCUAUCUAAGUUCUCUAGCACCUUGUAAAAGAUCCUAAACAAGAAAACAAGGUGCUACCUUAGCAAGAGCUCACCUAACCAAUUCUAGAAGCAAGGUCACACAAACCUAUGCAACUAGUACUUUGCAAACCGAGGGAGCUCCUACACAAACAAGUGAGGCAAAGCGCACAAAGCCUAAGCUCACUAGCAAGCUCAAUAACAAGGCAACUAAUGCCAAAUUAGAGAGCGCAACUUACUUAGCUACACAAACUAAGCAAUGUGACUAACAAGGUUACACAAACCAAAUUAGUCACGCAAGCGAACUACUUCUAGCUACACAAGCAAGAAGGUAACUAGCAAGCUACACAAGCUAACUAAUUACAAGAGCAACUACACAAGCACAAAUAUAUGAAUGUAAAUACAAGCUCGUAUAUAGCGAAUGCAAACCACCGAGAAGAGUAGACAAUGUUGACACGGUGAUUUUUACCGAGGUUCACUUGGUUGCCACCAAGCUACGUCCUCGUUGUGGCGAUACACCCACUUGAUGGAUCACGAGCUAAUUGGCAUUCAAAGCCAAACCCUCAGCGGGUGCCGCACAUCCACUCUCAAGAUGGGGAUCCUCCAAGCCACAAGAAAUCCACUAGAGUUGCUCUUCGCAAUCUCUGUGGGGUGAGCACCGUACCCCUCACAAUCUCUUCUCCGAAGCACCGCACAAUCUCCUUGCGUGCUUCGACGGAGUCACAAGCCACCAAGCCAUCUAGGAGGUGGCAACCUCCAAGAGUAACAAGCACCACCGGCUUGCAACACGAACACCUAGUGCCACUCGAUGCAAUCUCUCAAUGCAACGCACUAGAAUCGCUCACUCACACAAUCGGAUGAUCACUAUCAAGCAUAUGUGAGUUAGAGGCUUCACUAGCACUCCCUAACCAUGGACACUAAAUCCCAAGGGUGCUCAGCACAAGCCAAGGCCGGCCACCACUUCUAUUUAUAGCCCCAAGGGCUAAACUAGCCGUUGCCCCUUCACUGGGCAAAACACGUGGGCACCGGACGCUCACAGGGAGCCACCGGACGCUCAACCCCCAGCGUCCGGUGCUCAGGCGUCAGCCAUGUGUCACUAGCCAUUUGAACUCGACCGUUGCCGCCAACGGCUACUGCGCACGUGCGCCUACACAGUACCAUGUUGGGUAUUUUAAACGCAAACAGAAAAAUCCGCAAGCGCACGGAUACCGAUGUAGCUUUCACCCGGGAGUAUUCCAGAGUAUCGAUUUUCCACAGAGAACGUGAGUGUACUAAUUAAGAUCCAAGAUCGCCCAAGGAUAACUAUAUAAUUAUUUUUGGUGGGAAGAGAGGAAGUUUCCUGAGUGUUCUCUAGUUGAUCUAAGAAUCAAGAAUUACUUCAAGAUUAUCUAUAUCGGGACAUCAGAGCACUAACCACAGAAAGAGAUGAGAAGGGGGCUAGGAAGGUCUGACUACGGUCCUACAAACACCGAUCCGAACGUGGUGGAAUACGUCGACCGUUAGGGCUGUCACUACCCUAAGGCUACCACAACAAUCCGCAGGAUUGGGUGCAAUUCCAGGUAAUUGCAAGACUAAACACCACGUCUAAUCUAUUAAUUACUACUCUAGCGUUAUAAAGACUAGAGCACUUGAUGCAAGCGGGAAUCCAAUAAAUAACUUGAAUGUAAAUAAAAGUAAUUAAAGAACUCAGGAUUAUGAAUUGAAGAACCUGGAGAACGAUGAAGAAUGAACCAGUUGCUGCAAAAAUUUAAUGUUGAGGAAGAUCCGACAGAUCCGGGUCCUCCUCCGCUCUCCUCUUCUCUCUCCCUAUUUUCUAGACUACAACUAGAACUAACUAGAACUAGAACUAGAGGAACUAGAACUAGAACUAGAUGAACUAGAACUAGAACUAGAUGAACUAGAGGUAGAACUAGAAGAACUAGAGGGAUCCUCUCUACUUGGAUGAAGAAUUGAAACCCUAACUUUGAUUCUGUAGAAGAGGUAUGCUCUCCAGGGGCCAGGGGGCCUUGCUUAUAUAGUCUUUUCAGAUGAAUCUGGGCCGUCGGAUCGAACCGACAUUAAUCGCACAGUUUUCCUUGGUCCCUUAGGUCGGUGGAGCACGAUCCGCGAAGUUGAAGCUGAUUGGUUACUGUAGCUGGGCGGGCACCCAAGGGACUUGGGCGGGCGCCCUGCCCCCGGGCCCGAUCGGCCUCCCGUUCGUUCCCGUGGCUUCUGGAGUCUUCUAGAUGGUAGAAAAUUGCGCGGCACGUUAAUAUCUCUAUGUAAACCCGACGUGUGGGCUUUUCUUUCAUAUUUCCUGAUAACCUCCUGCAGAAAUAGACAAACACCAAAACUCGUGGAAUUCUGUCAGAUAAAACCCUAAGUCUAGGUGUUGGCUGCAUAUAAGUCUUUUUCCAUGAUUAGUUGAUGGUUAAAUGUGAGCAUUAAGGACCGUCAACAAGCUCCCCCAAGCUUAACCUUUGCUCGUCCCUGAGCAAAGAUGAACUCAAGAAUUUCUGCAGUGGUUUCAAUACAUGCGUUCAAACAAGAUCUCAUCUCUGGGUUAGGGUAAAUUGUUAAGAUUUAAAUUUACUCAUUUUUCCUUCCACCAUGGGGCUUGCAACCGUCACUUGUGUCUUGAGUAGUUAAAAGAUAGAACAGUCUAGUCAAGCGCUAUGUCUCUUGUUCUUCGAUUAACUAUAGCUCUGGAGUUUUUGCAGAUUUUCAAAUAAAACUCAGAGAUUCCUUGUAUGACUCUCUCUAGUCUCUCUUUUGUGGUAUUUCUGGAUCCUUACCAAGGCAGUAAUGGUGUAUGCCUUCUCUCAAAGUAUGUGGUAUUUUUGGUAUGAGGCAUAGUGACAUUGCUUUCUCUCUCACCCUACUCUAAUAAGGCUUUUGAUAUCUGGAGCUCAUUGGUGGGAGAUAGCUAAUACAUACUUACAAGACAUUUAUUGCAUAGUCAAACUAUGGAUCCAGAAGAACAAGUCAAUAAGUCAAAUCAAGAUGUGCAUGUGUGGCGAAUGAAUGGUGUAUGGUGAUGAUUGAUAACAAUAGUGAAAGUCUAAUUCUACUUAUGCUCUUUUGAGGGGAUACAUACUUUUCUUGCUCUUUUGAAACUUUUUGAGGGGAAUAAGAUGCUCUAUAUUUUCUUUUCUUUUUUUUCUUUUCUCUCAGGUGGGUAUCUUGUACCCCUAAUUCUACUGUCGCACACUUGUCCAUUUUUACCUCUCGUCUCACUUUUUCUUUUCUUUCGAGGUUCCGGGCACUUGCCCCUUUUUAUUUCCUCGUAUCUUUUUUUUCUCUUUUUUUAGAGCACUCAUCUCCUUAAAUAAUAUAGCAAGUGGUAGUAACCAAGAUAACUCGAGCAUUUAUUGCAUAGGGAAUAACAAGGAUAGGAAAAUAUUUUUGGCUAUUCUCUCCCGGAUUAGGAGUAGAAUACUUUUGGGUGAAUCUGGAGAUGGAAGUGAGUGGAUAUAUGUGGAUGCGUACUUCCGGAGUAGAAGCAACAUGUGUGAGUGAACGUGCAAGUGAAUCUUGAUUCUAACCGCAUGACAAGCUCCUAAGGGUCUACACAGCUUGACCACACUCAAUGCUCAUAAGUAGUAAAAAGUAAAUGUGUGGCUCAAAGUCUAGCAAACAUGUAUAUAUGGCUGUGGUAGGAAUUUAAACUCUCAUCAUACAGGAACUCAUCAUGUGAUAUUUUGAAGAUUUUCAAAGAUAAAAUUCUCUAGAAUUCUAGCAUCUCUAGGAACAGAUAAACAGCAGCUCAACCUUCCCAUAUCAUAUCCAUUAACAACUUAGACUUUAGAUCAAGUACUCUUCCCACAAGUUCAGGUUUAGAGCAAGUCUUAAUUAAUAACAGUCAUGCCUAAACUUGAAAGAGAUUUCAAUUUUAAGAACUAGUCAUGGCAGAGCAACUAUUCAUCAUUUCCACGUGACAGCUUAUCAUGAGGGUUCAUAGCAAACUUUAUUUAUUUAUUUAUUUAGCAAACUAAACAAAGAUAUAUAUAAGCACAAAAUCUUUAUUUGGGUUUUUAUGAUUAUGCAUCUUUUUAUUAUUUGAGUAAAAUAUAAACAUGAGUAGAGCACUUAACUGGAUAAAUGGUGGUGCUCUCCCCCAAGCUGGAUUUUGCCGUAAUUCCUUCUGAUGUAGCUAGCAGGUGGCGGAGGUGUAUUUGAAUGUUGGUAGCCUCCUGACAGCGAUUCGGAUGUCCUCUGUCUACUAGUCUUCUUUGAUCCUUGAAUUCUGUGGAGCUCAAAUAGACAACAAAGCUUUGUGGAACUAGUUAAGUGUUAACAUAAAUAUCUAGCCUUUAUCAUGUUGAGCCUCCUUAAUAAAUGUUACACUCUUUAGUAGGAUCACAAUCUUAUUUUUACAAUUUUAUUUUUAUAGGACAGGAAUAUAUUUAUUUCAUUUUUAUGCCACCACAGUGAAUGUACUUAUGGGUUUUAUGCCAUGAGCAUAAUCACAUGGGGCUUACUAUUUUUAACAUUUUUAUUUUCUUUUCAAGAUGAUAUGAACCUGAUUAACUAAGCAAACUAUUUUAAAAUAAUUGAAAGGAAAAAGAUAACUACCAAGUUUACCUCUUGGCAAGGCGUUCGGUGUUUUUAAGUCCUCCGAACGGGUCUCUCCGUUUUCUCUGUCGUCCUAGGAUUCGCUGGAUGGUGUAGUCGGUGGUUCCGGCGGCGCCUCCUCUUCGUGUAUAACUAUCUUUUCUCUCCACACCUGACUCGGUGCUACGGUCUCCUCAGGACAGUUCUGUUUAAGUUGUAUGUCUUCAGAUCUUACCACUUCUCCUUCGUAGUCUGCCCAUCCAUCCUUGAUGAUUUGCCUCCUCUGGUUGCGGUUGCGUCGUCUUCUUUGUCUUGACCUGCUUAGAGUCUUCAUAUAUAUAUAGUUAGGGUCAGUAAAAUAGCGGCGUACCUUCUCAGAGGGGAAGUGCAUGUGGACUUCUCCGGUUCCAAUGUAGAUGAUUGCUUUAACGGUGCUGAGGAACAGUCUUCCAAGGGUGAUGGGUGGAUUGUACUUGUCUUCUUCCAUGUCAAUAACCUUAAAAUCAUCUGGAGCUAAAUGUAUGUCGGUUUUAGUGGCAUGGUUCCGAAUAGGAGCUGAUAGGUGACUGGGUCGUCCUUUUUGGUCAGGAACGGUGACUUAAGUCAACGAUCUUGACCUCCUUAAACUGCAGUGACCAUCUUGGUUGACUCGGUCCACAUUUGCUUGUUCCUGUUCCUCCUGUUGGUCAUCUUCCUUGGUUCAUGUCGGGAUUGCUCUGAGAUUUGUAUAGUCUUGUUCUUGAAGGAAAACGUCUCCUUCCUCUCCUUGAUGUAGAAACUGAUCUUGACAGCACUAGCAUAGAUGACAGCUCCCGAGGUGUUCAGGAAUGGCCUCCCUAGGAUGAUGGGUGCCCUCUCGUCAGUAUCAGUCUCUAUCACCACGAAGUCUGCUGGAGCGUAUAAGGUACCAACUCGGACAUAGAGGUUAUUCAAUAUUCCCUUUGGGAAACUUAGUGUCUGAUCUGCAAGCUGCAAACACAUGGUUGUUUCUAGGAAAGGAUGUGUAAAGAAUUUUUCAUAGAGUACCCUGGGCAUAAUGUUGACGCUGGAGCCAAGGUCGCAGAGUGCUUCUAGGAAGUCCACCAUGCCGAUGGAGAUCGGGAUGACGAGGCGUCCUGGAUUGUCUCUCUUGACCGGCAGAAGGUCAGUAAUUACUUCCACAGCAGGGUUACUCCAGUAGUUACGUCCUCAAGCAUCUCAGGGCAGUGAUUGCCUGAGUGUCCAGUAUCCCCAGUGUGUUUGAGCUCGUAGAUCUAGGUUCUUCACUUGGUGGAGUGUGGGAGUUGUAAAAGUCCUUCAUAUUUUGCUCGAAGUGUACCUGCUCGUAGAGACAAGGGAGAGAUCAAGUGCAUGGGCCCUGUUGGUGGAAAACACCAACAGAACCAAAAGUGUAUUUGUGCUUCUCUACCCUUAAGCAUAGUGAGCAAGACAAAGUUGAUGGAUAAUAAGAUCAUGAGUGCAGCAUUUAAAAUAUUUGUCAGAUCAGAUUGCUCAACCUAAUGGAAAGAUAAUCUCUCUAUAGUUAUGUUGUUUUUUUAUAUAUCUUCCAAAGAUUGAGCGUGCAACAUUUUAGCUCAUAAGAUUAGGAGUGUGGGAUCACAAAGAUGGAAGGACUACACAUGUUGAAUCGAUUGGGUUGGUUAAUCUAGAGUUGUAAAUCAUACAUGUUUGUCUCUUUUAUUCAUGUGAACGCCAGAACCAAGGAGAAGCUUGUAGAAGUGAAAGUCAAGUACCUUAAGAUGUUACCUUACUUGAAGAGUGAUGGUACAGUAUCACCUUGUGGAAGCUCUCCUUUCUUAGUGGUUGUGCAUCAUGUUUGUGGCACCCUCCAUGGAUCAUCUCUUGUGAGGUAUGCCUUCCUUGUGUAAAUUGUUAAACUUCAUGUGUCUCUCUCUUUGUCUCCAAUGUGAGUUUAUCUCUGGACUUCCCAGGUUGAUAUUGAAAGUUUUCCUGCAGGGGUUAGUCCAACAAAAUAUCCAGUAUCUACUAUAGCAUAAUAUUGGCUCAAAGAUUAACCUAGACACCAUGUCUAAUUUGAUUUAGGAGGGCAUUUUAACCUAAGCAUCAUGCUUAAUUUAAACUCCCUUUGAAGUAAGAUCAUCAGCCCUAAACUAAGCACCAUGCUUAAUUAAGAGAUAAAUGAAACUACUCAAAACCUAGACAUAUACUAAAGCAAAUAAAGGUAGCAUCAGAGCGUUUAUAGAGAUCUACUCAAGUGGAGAUGAAGUAGUGUGAUUAGUAUUUAACAAAUUGAGCAUGUCUCAAAGGUAGGGACAACCAACAUAGCAACAUGGCAAAGGAUGUUUGUAUGUAAAGUACUCCCCCAAGCUUGAAUUUUGCAAAAUUCAAGUUUGGAUGAAUUUAAUUCAAUGUUAUAUGAUGAUUGGUUGGACAUACCUUGUGCUUGUCAUUCAUCCGAUCUUCUUGCUCCAAUCCUGGAAAGGUUAGUGACAAGAAUACCCGAAGGAAUAUUUUUACAAUUAUCCUUAUAUGCUCAACACACAAGGUAAUGUUGCAAAUAAUUAAAAGCUCAUAUUACAAUCUGAUCAGUGCUUGUUUUAGGACACUAAGCUUGUCCUUGGGAAACCAUCAAUUUAUGUCAGUGAAGUGGUUUCCCCUCCAAUGCUGACCUAUAUCAAGAUCAACUCAAUGACAUCUAGAAAAUUUAUUAUAGACAUAUGCAUCGACAACUGCCCUUUUAAAGUUUUUAUAAACAAAAAGGAUGCGGGGGUUGGAGAUCUCGAAUGUGGUGAUGUUGGAGAGACCAAUGGAUUGUGAAGAUGUUGCAUAUGAGCAUGGAGUAAAUGAAGUGGCAAUGAAAUAAAUUCCAUGCUCAUUAAUGCUUAGAGUGAAAUCCAUGUGGUAUGGUGAAAAUGAUAAGGUGAGUGUGGUAAAAAAAGAAAAGAAAAAGGAUACACGGAUGACUUGGUUCGAAACUAGCACAGCUACCGUUCCCCGGCAACGGCGCCAGAAAGCUUGUUGGGUAUUUUAAACGCAAACAGAAAAAUCCACAAGCGCACGGAUAUCGAUGUAGCUUUCACCCGGGAGUAUUCCAGAGUAUCGAUUUUCCACAGAGAACGUGAGUGUACUAAUUAAGAUCCAAGAUCGCCCAAGGAUAACUAUAUAAUUAUUUUUGGUGGGAAGAGAGGAAGUUUCCUGAGAGUUCUCUAGUUGAUCUAAGAAUCAAGAAUUACUUCAAGAUUAUCUAUAUCGGGACAUCAGAGCACUAACCACAGAAAGAGAUGAGAAGGGGGCUAGGAAGGUCUGACUACGGUCCUACAAACACCGAUCCGAACGUGGUGGAAUACGUCGACCGUUAGGGCUGUCACUACCCUAAGGCUACCACAACAAUCCGCAGGAUUGGGUGCAAUUCCAGGUAAUUGCAAGACUAAACACCACGUCUAAUCUAUUAAUUACUACUCUAGCGUUAUAAAGACUAGAGCACUUGAUGCAAGCGGGAAUCCAAUAAAUAACUUGAAUGUAAAUAAAAGUAAUUAAAGAACUCAGGAUUAUGAAUUGAAGAACCUGGAGAAUGAUGAAGAACGAACUAGAUGCUGCAAAAGUAUAAUGUUGAGGAAGAUCCGACAGAUCCGGGUCCUCCUCCGCUCUCCUCUUCUCUCUCCCUAUUUUCUAGACUACAACUAGAACUAGAACUAGAGGAACUAGAACUAGAACUAGAUGAACUAGAACUAGAACUAGAUGAACUAGAGGUAGAACUAGAAGAACUAGAGGGAUCCUCUCUACUUGGAUGAAGAAUUGAAACCCUAACUUUGAUUCUGUAGAAGAGGUAUGCUCUCCAGGGGCCAGGGGGCCUUGCUUAUAUAGUCUUUUCAGAUGAAUCUGGGCCGUCGGAUCGAACCGACAUUAAUCGCACGGUUUUCCUUGGUCCCUUAGGUCGGUGGAGCACGAUCCGCGAAGUUGAAGCUGAUGGUUACUGUAGCUGGCGGGCACCCAAGGGACUUGGGCGGGCGCCCUGCCCCCGGCCCGAUCGGCCUCCCGUUCGUUCCCGUGGCUUCUGGAGUCUUCUAGAUGGUAGAAAAUUGCGCGGCACGUUAAUAUCUCUAUGUAAACCCGACGUGUGGGCUUUUCUUUCAUAUUUCCUGAUAACCUCCUGCAGAAAUAGACAAACACCAAAACUCGUGGAAUUCUGUCAGAUAAAACCCUAAGUCUAGGUGUUGGUUGCAUAUAAGUCUUUUUCCAUGAUUAGUUGAUGGUUAAAUGUGAGCAUUAAGGACCGUCAACAAGCCACUGGACGCUCUACUGCGUCACACCGGACGCGUCCGGUGCACACCGGACCCAUGUGCAGAGAGCUCCGCAAACUCGCACAGUCACCGGACGGACCCUGAGCGUCCGGUGCUCACCGGUCAGAAACUCCUCGCGCACACUCGCUGACAUCACACACCACCAGACGCUCGAACAGUAACCGCCCACCGUCCGGUGCCAGCGUCCGGUGCGCUCUACACACCUGAGCCACAGACACCACACCGGACGCUCUGGACCAGCGUCCGGUGCUGCCAACACCAGCGUCCGGUGCUCCCGCAACUUCUCCAAAAUUCCCACCGGCGCAAUAGAAAAUAUACACUUAAUUUUCUCAAAAGCGCCGAAUCCCGCCGAGGAACCCACACCCCUCUCAACCCUAGGAACUCCACCUCCUUUGUAAAUGUGCCAACACCACCAAGUGUACACCACCAUGUGCAAGUGUGUUAGCAUUUUCACAAACAUUUUCCCAAAGGAGUUAGCCUCUCAAACUUGCCGCGCCACUCGAUCCUAACACAUAUGCAAAGUUAGAUCGCUCAAGUGGCACUAGAUGACCGAUAUGCAAACAAGUUUGCCCCUCUUGAUAGUACGGCCAUCUAUCCUAAAUCCGGUCAUAAACUUCUCUACACACCUAUGACCGGUGAAAUAGAAAAGCCCUAGGUUAUACCUUUGCCUUGCGCUUUCCAUUCCAUCUCCUCCAAUGUAGAUGCAACACAUGCACCAACCCAUCACCAAAUGAUAUGAUCCUCUUCAUAUCAUCAUGUGACUGUAUUGGUUCAUCGAUCUUGACCUCACUUGCUCUUCACCGUUGCCUCGGUCCAUCAGCGCCAAGUCUUGCUCAAGCUUCACCGUCACACGCGGUCCCUCGCUUCAAAGCCUCUGACUUUCCCUUCACUCUUGCAACCGGUCCAUCAAGCCAAGCCACAUCUUGAUCUUUUCCACCUUGGUCACAUGACUCCAUGUCAUGUCUCAUAUGCAAUGAGCUCCUCCAUCAUCAUAUAAUCACCUGUGGACUAAUCUCCUAUGUAUCUCACAUAAACACUAUUAGUCCACCUAAGUUGUCACUCAAUUACCAAAACCAAACAAGGACCUUUCACACACUUAAGAAAUAAUGCACGCCAUUAAUGAACUCUUCGGAGCGCCGAUCGGCAUUAUACAACCAAUUACGUGUUACCAUCUGCAUUAAAUAUAACAUAUAUAUUAUGAAAACCAUGCACACAUAUAGUUUCUCAUCUUAUUGCACAAUAUGUCUAACACACAUAGUUGAUUAAUUCAAGCAAGCUUGGCUACAACAAAUACAAUCGCAACUAGCACUAAAAAACCAAAACUAAAAUGCACUUAAGCAACAUAAUUAGUUCGAGUCUCAUCCCAACUAUAAUAGAUAGAUAAUUUGCUUGAUCAACAUCAUUGAACUCCUUUUGCCGGCUCACUGCCUCAUCACCUUCAGCCUCAACCACCUGUGCAAAAGAUUUCUUGAUGUGUUGAAUGUAUUCUUCCUUCCAGUACCAACCUGUACAUCCGCCGGUACCGUCCCACUGAAAUUAAAAGAGAGAAUCAAAAGUUUAAUUAAUAUCAUUAAAAAAAUAAGCACAUAUAUAAGCAAAUGUCUAGAAAUAACUCACAUUACGAUCCGGACACUUGUAGAAUAUAGGACCGUUGUUUACUCCCUCUUUCGACACUCUGUACUCCAUCACAAUCUUCUACCCACACUUGCCACAAGCAAUGAGAGGGAGUUCCGGCCGGUAUCGCUUUUGAACCCGUUGAGAGACUGAAGACCCGGUCACGGUUGCCAUCUACUAUCCAUACUCAAUUUUUAAACAAUUAUAAAUUCCACAUUUACUAGUAAACAUGUAUGAUAAAAGAAGAACCUAAUAAUAUCCUUUAUUUGUCUAGUUACUUCAACAAAUCUUCUAAAUUAUACAAUGGACAUUAUGUAGUAAUAAAAACUUAUCAAGUGAUAUUAAUAAACCAAUUAAUUUGAACUAUCCUACUUUCUAAGAUCAUAAAAAGAUACUAUUGACAGUCCUUAAGUACCAAAUAUAAUCAGCAAAUAAACAAAGAAAAGGAUCCAAAUACAACCAACAUCUAAACUUAGGGUUUUAUCUGACAGAAAUCCACGAGUUUUGGUGUUUGUCUACUUCUGCAGGGGGUUAUCAGGAAAUAUGGAGAGAAGGCCCACACGUCGGGUUUACAGAGAGAUAUUAACAUGUCGCACAAUUUUCUAUCAUCUAGAAGACUACAGAAGCCACGGGAACGAACGGGAGGCCGAGCGGGCUCGGGGGCAGGGCGCCCGCCCACCCCCCUUGGGCGCCCGCCCAGCUACAAGUCCAAUCAGGAAUCUCUUCGGGGAUUACGCUCCACCGACCUAAAGGAUCAAGAAUAACCAUUCAAUCAAUGUCGGUUUGAUCCGACGGCCCAGGUUCACUUGAGGGGACUGUAUAACCAGACCCCCUGGCCCCUGGAGGAGGCACCCCUUGAUCAUUAUUCAUUAUUCAUAGAUAGAGCAAAAGCUAGGGUUUAGAGAUGAGAGCUCUCCUCUCUUCUCUAAACUAGAGUAGAUCUAGAUAGUAGCGAGAUGGAGAGCGAAGGAGGAUUAGAGGAGAGGCCGGCCUGUCGGUUCUUACUCCGGUUGUACUUCGCCAUGAUCAAGCUCUAAUCAAGUUUGCUCAUGGGAUGACUUUGGUAAUCUACUUCUAAUUCAUUAUGCAAUUACUAAUCAUGUAUGUUCUGGUUCACAACUCUUUUGAGUACUUCUAAUCCAUAGGGCCCUAUAGGUUAGAGUUGUAGUAUAGGUGUAGGUGUGGUGCUUAGACCUAGAUUACUUGUGGAUAUCCCCUGUCUAGCUGGAUCGUGUGGUAGGCCGCGUAGGUGACAGUUACAUUGGUUCUCUGUAGUCCACCUCUCGUUAGCAGGACGGGUAGGGUUUAUUGGCCUAUGUAUAAGCAUCCUUUGUGGUGUACUCUUAUCACGUGGUUCGUCCUAGACAUAGACAUACCCCUUUGAAGAAGAGAAACCAUAGUUAUCCUCUCUAUUCUACUACCAUCGCCCAUAUAUUAGAUUGCUCUACUCUCUAUUCCCAUAUUAUCACCCACUGUUAUCUUACCUUUAAUAUUGUUCUUAUUCAAUUCUACCAUCUUUCCUAUUUACACCUAUCUAUUUAUCUUGGUUAAGUUAGAGCAUAGAUCAGUUCUCCCGUUUCCCUGUGGAUACAAUAAAACCUUUAACUGGGUAAAAGGCUACAACGGUAUGCAUGCGCUUGCGGAUUUAUCUGUGUGCGUAUAAAUACCAUAGUACACUCUAGUGCCAUGCUAGGGAUGACAACCUAGUAUUCAAGUGGUGUUAGCAAGUGUCAACAAGCAUUUUUGGCGCCGUUGCCGGGGAAACGGUUGCUGAGUUGACUACGAACUAGCUUAAUCAUUUUCUAAAAAAAUAAAAUAUAUAUAUUUUUUUCCUUUUAUCUUUUGCCUUAUCUCUGCUAUUCUUUCUUCUUAUCUAAUCCUUGAUCUCUGGUCUAUUAUGAAUUCAAACAUGUCUAUCUAUGAAUUUCAUAGACCUGUGGGCACACAUCUCGAACCACCAAAAUCUUCAAAGCCUAUCAUAGCAUCUAGUUUUGAGAUAGACCCCGAAUACAUAGAAUUUGUUCAAAAACAACCUUUCUCAGGAGAAGGUUAGGAAAACCCAUACACUCACCUAAGAGAGUUUUAUCGAGUCUGUGACCUCCUUCGCAUAGAAGGCAUGUCCGAUGAGACCCUUAAAUGGAAGCUCUUUCCGUUCUCUUUAACGGGAAAAGCUAGACAUUGGUACAAACUCAAAGUAGGGAGUGUUCAUGGAGAUUGGAAGGAGUUAUAUAAUAGUUUUCUUUCUAAAUAUUUUCUAAUCUCCAAAGUGGCGGAACCUCGGCGUAAGAUUCUUUCUUUUAGACAACUAGAAGAAGAAUCUCUUGGCAAAUCAUAGGACCGCUUCAUUAACCUUACUCUCACUGGCCCAAAGCUUUCUAUUCCAGAAGAAGUUCUUCUAAUUCACUUUUUUGAGGGCCUUAGUAGGGAAAAUAAGCGAACCCUUCAUGCGGCCUCUGGAGGAUCUUUCCACCACCUAUCCGCUAGUGAAGCUUGGAAUUUGAUUGAUUUAAUGAGCGGAAAGUCUCCUAGCUUUUAUAUCCCUGAGAAAGAGAAAGAACCAGUUCCUAGACAAGAAGAAGAAGUUUCGAUAGCCAGAUCACAACCACUUCAAUCCCAAACUUUAGCUAUCGAUCCUAAACCAUCAAUACCCCAAAAUUCUCUAAGGGAGGAAGGAAUUCUGACCUUAAAUCUUUCAGAUACUGAUGGUUUAGACUUCUGGUUCCAUAAGAGACCUUCAAGCAGGGAUAAUUCAAAUCCUUGCAAUAAUGGUUCUCUUAGAGAAUGUCCUGGUUUCUGUUAUGAAGAAGUUGAGGAUGACAUAUCAAGUGAAGGAGAGCUAAACCAUAUAGAAAAUCCUAUCUGCUCCCCUUCCAUGUUCACAAAUUCUAAAUCCAUCCUUGACCUUAGAGACCCCUCUUAUCCCUCUCCUUUUAAGUCUCAUGAUGAUCCUAGCAAUCCAUCAAAAUGAUCAAACCAUAGGAGUCAUAAAGACCAUGAGGAUGACGUGUCAAGUAAUGUCAUAGAAGGAGAGCUAAGCCAUAUAGGAAAUUCUAACACCUCCCCUUUCCUGAUCACAAGUUCUAAAUGGCUAGAAUGUGUAGAAUGGAUGGAUAAGGAAGAAGACUUAAUGGAUUCUGACUUUGGCUCAAUUUCAAAUGGUGAGUUCUUGACUCCUUUUGAAGAUGAGAUUUAUCCAACUACAGAAGAGGACACAGGUGAGACCAAUUCAAGAGAAACUCCAAACAUUCAGAUUGGAGACGAAGAUAACAUUAAUGAGUAUGGAAUUUAUUUCAUAGCCACUUUGUUUACUCUAUGCUCAUAUGCAACAUCUUCCCAAUCUAUUGGUCUCUCCAACAUCACCACAUUUGAGAUCUCCAACCCCCUCUUCCUUUCUAUUUAUAAAAACUUUAAAAGGGCGGUUGUCGAUGCAUAUGUCUAUAAUAAAUAUUGCGGAUCUCGUUGAGUUGAUCUUGAUAUAGGUCAGCGUUGGAAGGGAAACCACUUCGCCGACAUAAAUUGAUGGUUUCCCAGGGACAAGCUUAGUGUCCUAAAAUAAGCACUGAUCAGAUCGUAACAUGAGCUUUUAAUUAUUUACAACAUUACCUUGUGUAUUUAGCAUAUAAGGAUAAUUAUAAAAAUAUUCCUUCGGGUAUUCUUGUCACUAACCUUUCCAGGAUUGGAGCAAGAAGAUCGGAUGAAUGACAAGCACAAGGUAUGUCCAACCGAUCAUCAUACAACAUUGAAUUAAAUUCAUCCAAACUUGAAUUUUGCAAAAUUCAAGCUUGGGGGAGUACCUUACAUAAAAACAUCCUUUGCCAUGUUGCUAUGUUGGUUGUCCCUACCUUUGAGACAUGCUCAAUUUGUUAAAUACUAAUCACACUACUCUAUCUCCACUUGAGUAGAUCUCUAUAAAUGCUGUCAUGCUACCUUUGUCUAUUUUCUAGCAAGUGUUGGUUUGGAAGUACUCGACAUACUUCCAUUGGCAUUUAAAUUGAGCAUGGUGCUUAGGUUAAAUAGCCUUCCUUAAUCUGAUUAGACAUGGAGUCUAGUUUGGUUACUGAACUAAAAACUGCUUGAGUAGAUAUUGGUAUAUUUUGUCGGACUAACCCCUAUAGGAAAACUUUCACUAUCAACCUGGGAAGUCCUGAGAUAAACUCACAUCAGAGAUGAAGAGAGUAACACAUGAAGUUUAACAAUUUGCACAAGAAGGACAUAGCUCAUUCACCAUACAGAGAUGAUCCAUGGAAGGAGACAAAGUACAUAAACAAGAUACACAACCACUACGAAAGAAAAGCUUCCACAAGGUGAUACUAUACCAUCACUCUUCAAGUAAGGUAACAUCUUAAGAUAUCUGACUAUCACUUUUAUAAGCUUCUCCUUGGUUCUGGCGUUUACAUAAAUAAAGAGACAAACAUGUAUGAUUUAUAACUCCAAAUUAACCAACCCAACUGAUUCAGCAUGUUUAGUCCUUUAAUCUUUGUUCCUAGUACUACCUCCAUGAUCCCACACUCCUAACCAUAUGAGCUAAAAUGUUGCACAUUUAAUCUUUGGGAAGAUAUAAAGAAAAAGGCAUAUAUAUAGAUAGAUUAUCUUUCCAUUAGGUUGAGCGAUCUGAUCUGGCAAAUGUUUUAAAUGCUACACUCAUGAACUUAUCAUUCAUCAACUUUGUCUUGCUCACCAUGCUUAAGGUUAGAGAAGAACAAAUACACUUUUGGUUCUGUUGGUGUUUUCCACCAACAGGGCCCAUGCACUUGAUCUCUGCCUUGUCUCUAUGAACAGGUACACUACGAGCACAAACACACUGAGCAAGAUACUGCCAACACCGCACUUCGAACUACUGGGCAAACGAAGAACAUGGGUGACACCGUAUUAAGAGGUGCAGACGUCAAGGUCCACACCUGAAUCAAAUGACACACCUGAAGAAUGAACACGGUGAGAAGUCUUGUUCAGAAGACUUAAAACAUUGAAUCCUCGCCGAAAGGUAAAAUCGGUAGUUAUCCAUAUUUAUCCUUUCUGCAUUCCCUUUUCCCAUUAAUUAUUUACUUUCCUUAAAUAGAUUAUUAGUUAAUCAUGCUAUCUUGAAAAUAAAAUAAAAAUGUUAGUAAGCCCCAUAUGAGUAUGCUCGUGGCAUAAAACCUAUAAGUACAUUCACUGUGGUGGCGUAAAAAUAAAUAUAUUCCUGUCCUAUAGAAAUGAAAGUAUAAAAAUAAAUUUAUGAUCCUACCAAAGAGAGUAAUAUUUAUUAGAGGAAGCUCAACAUGACAAAGGUUAAGAGAUUUUAUGCUAACACUUAACCAGUUCCACAAAGCUUUGUUGUCUGUUUGAGCUCCACAGAAUUCAAGGAUCAAAGAAGACUAGCAAACGGAGGACAUCCUAAUCGUUGUCAGGGUGCUGCCGACAUUACACCUCCACCACCUGCUAGCUACAUUAGAAGAAAUUACGUCAAAAUCCAGCUUGGGGGAGAGCACCCCCAUUUAUCCAGCUAAGUGUUUCUACUCGCGUUUAUACUUUACUCAAAUAAUAAAAAGAUGCAUAAUCAUAAAAACCCAAAUAAAGAAUUUGUGCUUAUAUAUAUAUCUAUGCUUAGUUUGCUAAAUAAAUAAAUAAAUAAAGUUUGCUAUGAACCCUCAUGAUAAGCUCUCACAUGGAAAUGAUGAAUAGUUGCUCUGCCAUGACUAGUUCUCAAAAUUGAAAUCUCUCUCAAGUUUAGGCAUGACUGUUAUGAAUUAAGAUUUGCUCUAAACCUGAACUUGUGGGAAGAGUACUUGAUCUAAAGUCUAAGUCGUUAACAGAUAUGAUAUGGGAAGGUUGAGUUGCUAUUUAUCUGUUCCUAGAGAUGCUAGAAUUCUGGAGAAUUUUAUCUUUGAAAAUCUUUAAAAUGUUGCAUGAUGAGUUCCUGUAUGAUGAGAGUUUAAAAUCCUACCACAGCCACAUAUACAUGCUUAUGAGACUAUGAACCAUACAUUUACUUUUUACUGCUUAUGAGCAUUGAGUGUGGUCAAGCUAUGUAGACCCUUAGGAGCUUGUCAUGCGGUUAUAAUCAAGAUUCACUUGCACGUCCACUCAUACAUGCUGCUUCUACUCUAGAAGUAUGCAUCCACAUACAUCCACUCAUUUCCAUCUCCAGAUGCACCCAAAAUUAUUCUACUCCUAUCCGGGAGAGAAUAGCCAAAAAUAUUAUCCCAUUCCUGUUUUUCUCUGUGAAAUAAAUGCUCGAGCUAUUUUGGUUACUACCACUUGCUACAUUAUUCCAGGAGGGUGAGUGCUCUGAAAAAAAGAAGAAAAAUACGAGGAAAUAAAAAGGGGCAAGUGCUCGGAACCUCGAAAGAAAAAAGAAAAAGUGAGACGAGAGGUAAAAAUGGACAAGUGUCCGAUAGUAGAAUUAGGGGUACAAGAUACCCACCUGAGAGAAAAGAAAAAGAAAAUAUAGAGCAUCUCAUUCCUCUCAAAAACCUUCAAAGUGCAAGAAAGGUAUGUAUCCCCUCAAAAGAGCAAAAGUAGAAUUAGACUUUCACCAUUAUUUUCACCAUCAUCACCAUACACUAUUCAUCCACCACAGAUGCACAUCUUGGUUUGACUUAUUGACUUGUUUCUCUGGAUCCAUGGUUUGACUAUGCAAUAAAUGUCUUGUAAGUAUGUAUUAGUUGUCUCCCACCUAUGAGCUCCAGAUAUCAAACCUUAUUAGAGUAGGGUGAGAGAGAAGGCAAUAUCACUAUGCCUCAUACCACAAAUACUACAUACUUUGAGAGAAGGCGUAUAUUAUCACUGCCUUGGUAAGGAUCUAGAAAUACCACAAAAGAGAGACUAGAGAGAGUCAUACAAGGAAUCUCUGAGUUUUAUUUGAAAAUCUGCAAAAACUCCAGAGCUAUAGUUGAUCAAAGAACAAGAGACAUGGUGCUUGACUUGACUGUUCUAUCUUUUAACUGCUCAAGACACAAGUGACGGUUGCAAGCCCCAUCGUGAAAGCUAAUAUGAGUAAGUUUUAAAUCUUAACAAUUUACCCUAACCUAGAGAUGAGAUCUUGUUUAAACGCAUGUGUACCUUUAAGGCAUAAAACCACUGUAGAAACUCUUGAGUCCAUCCUUGCUCAGAGACGAGCAAGAGGUAAGCUUGGGGGAGUUGUUGACGGUCCUUAAGUACAAAAUAUAAUCAGUAAAUAAACAAAGAAAAUGAUCCAAAUACAACCAACAUCUAAACUUAGGGUUUUAUCUGACAGAAUUCCACGAGUUUUGGUGUUUGUCUAUUUCUGUAGGGGGUUAUCAGGAAAUAUGGAGAGAAGGCCCACACGUCGGGUUUACAUAGAGAUAUUAACGUGCCGUGCAAUUUUCUAUCAUCUAGAAGACUCCAGAAGCCACGGGAACAAACGGGAGGCCGAGCGGGCUCGGGGGCAGGGCGCCCGCCCACCCCCCUUGGGCGCCCGCCCAGCUACAGAGUCCAAUCAGGACUCUCUUCGGGGAUUACGCUCCACCAACCUAAAGGAUCAAGAAUAACCGUUCAAUCAAUGUCGGUUUGAUCCGACGGCCCAGGUUCACUUGAGGGGACUAUAUAACCAGACCCCCUGGCCCCUGGAGGAGGCACCCCUUGAUCAUUAUUUAUUAUUCAUAGACAGAGCAAAAGCUAGGGUUUAGAGAUGAGAGCUCUCCUCUCUUCUCUAAACUAGAGUAGAUCUAGAUAGUAGCGAGAUGGAGAGCGAAGGAGGAUUAGAGGAGAGGCCGGCCUGUCGGUUCUUCCUCCGGUUGUACUUCGCCAUGAUCAAGCUCUAAUCAAGUUUGCUCAUGAGAUGACUCUGGUAAUCUACUUCUAAUUCAUUAUGCAAUUACUAAUCAUGUAUGUUCUGGUUCACAACUCUUUUAAGUACUUCUAAUCUAUAGGACCCUAUAGGUUAGAGUUGUAGUAUAGGUGUAAGCGUGGUGCUUAGACCUAGAUUACUUGUGGAUAUCCCCUGUCUAGCUAGACCGUGUGGUAGGCCGCGUAGGUGACAGUUACGUUGGUUCUCUGUAGUCCACCUCUCGUUAGCAGGACGGGUAGGGUUUAUCGGCCUAUGGAUAAGCAUCCUUUGUGGUGUACUCUUAUCACGUGGUUCGUCCCAUACAUAGACAUACCCCUUUGAAGUAGAGAAACCAUAGUUAUCCUCUCUAUUCUGCUACCAUCGCCCAUAUAUUAGAUUGCUCUACUCUCUAUUCCCAUAUUAUCACCCACUGUUAUCUUACCUUUAAUAUUGUUCUUAUUCAAUUCUACCAUCUUUCCUAUUUACACCUAUCUAUUUAUCUUGGUUAAGUUAGAGCAUAGUUCAGUUCUCCCGUUUCCCUGUGGAUACGAUAAAACCUUUAACUGGGUAAAAGGCUACAACGGUAUCCGUGCGCUUGUGGAUUUAUCUAUGUGCGUAUAAAUACCAUAGUACACUCUAGUGUCAUGCUAGGGAUGACAACCUAGUAUUCAAGUGGUGUUAGCAAGUGUCAACAGAUACUAUAAUUCAUUCUUGCAAACUACAUUAAUACUAGGUCAACCAUGAAAUAUGAUAUAUAUACAUAGAUACUAAUUCAAGUGAAUGAUUCAAAAUAACAAAGUGGAUUUGAGCUAAAAAUAAUGGGAAAAUCACAAGCCAAAAACAACAUGAAAAAGACAAAAAAAGAUGAAGUUAGUCACCUCUAAGCACGAAGAGACGAUGACGGAGUCAAAGAAGAUCAACGAUGGGCGUCAGAGAUGAGGAACAAAGGAAGAACAAGCAAGAACAACAAAAUAGAAGCUCUAAGAACGACCAUGGUGCUCUCGGUUUCGAAUGGGCAGAGGGGAGGAGGUAGCCGGCCUAUAAACCGGACCUUUAGCACCGGUUCAGAGCACAAACCGGUGCUAAAGGGUCACCCUUUAGCACCGGUUCGUGUUACCAACCAGUGCUAAAGGGUUUGCCUCGGCCCAUGGCACUGGCCGGUGAUAUAAAGGCCCCUUUAGCACCGGUUGGUAACACGAACCAGUGCUAAAGGGUCCCUGCCCGGACAACACCUGUUAGUAGCCGUUGGGCAGGACCCUUUAGCACUGGUCCUUGUUCCGAACCGGUGCUAAAGGGGCCUUUAGCCCCGAGCCGCAAAAAAGCCGAGGUUUUUGGAGAUUUUAGGCAUCGACCAAUGCCUCAUUCUGUAGUAGUAGUGUUGUCUACUAAACUAAACACGUUAUGUGUUUGGUCUUUAUUAUGUAAAAAAAAAUGUGCUGGAGAGAUCUCACGGCAUUCUGUAAGUCUGAACCAAGUAGUACGAAAAUUUGGAUAUGGAGAAUCAUCAACAUUUUCAUUUCUUCUCUAAUAAUAAGGAUAUGUUUAGUUCCCUAUUAAAUACAAAAUACAAAAUAUCAAUUACUUUGGAAUAAUGAAAUACAAAAUGUCAAUUUAUUUUAUAGUUGUGUUUAGUUCCAUCUAAAAUGCUAAAUUUUUUCAGGUGCUGGCGGGGUGGGCACGGGCUCCCAGGUGUUUUUGGGCUUUUUUAGCCUCUUGAGACCAAAAUUCAAAACGGCGAAUAUCCAUAUUUUUAGUAAAAAUUUUUACAUGGUAUUUAGUUUCAUUAUGGAAAAUAAUAGAUCCAAAUAUAAAAUUUUAUGAUGAAAAGAGAAAACACCCCCGCAUUUUGGGAUGUGUUGUUUUCCGAUAUAAAGGGAUGGUAGAAUUGUUGCUGUGACCAAUCUUGUUGUACAUGUUUAUCAGUGGGCCUACUAGUGACCUCCUUGGUGGCAUGUUCUGGCCAGACUGCAGAAAGAAUAACUGUGGCAGGUGUUUUCCCUUUUUCGUAGUGGACAAACACGUUCGCCACAGUCAUAAGGCCACGGUAAAUCGUGUNNNNNNNNNNNNNNNNNNNNNNNNNNNNNNNNNNNNNNNNNNNNNNNNNNNNNNNNNNNNNNNNNNNNNNNNNNNNNNNNNNNNNNNNNNNNNNNNNNNNCUGCAUCUAGCUUCGAAUACAUUUAUUACCUAACAGACCGAAGCAAUAGCGGACCACGAGACUUUUGACCCUGGCAAAUUUUAAUACGAUGAGUAUUUGCUAUAGAAAAAUUGGAAACCGCUAAUGCGCGGCCGGCCGUGCAUUAAGCUUCCGGUACGCACAUUCCGUUUACGGAAGGUUUUUUAAAACCAUCAGUAACCAUUCCUAUUUGCUUUUGCACUCCUUUUUUCUCUUGUUGUCGUUUUCUACUUCUUCCAACUAACUCGCUGCUCCUAGAUUUUCUAGGCAUUAUUUAGCUCAUAUCCCAAAUAUUACAAAUUUGAUACAUUCACCAAAAUAAGCCGAAAUCAAAUAUAAACUAUUCAUCACACAUGACAUUUUGGACAUCUUGAGAUAUUUCGUAUAACAAUCCACAUAUGUCAUUUUGGGCACCUUGAGAUGUUUUGUAUAGCAACUCAGGCUUCUUAUAGAAGGGAACGUAUCCUGUGUAACCCAGCUUCGUGUGCAACCUAUGCAACUAUCAAUUAAGGCCACAAGAUCUAAAUCCAACGUCUGAGGUUUUUUCAUUUAAACCCUCCCAUCUAGAUACACACGGGUUAGAUUUAAACCCACAGGUGGAGGGGUUUAAGUGAAAAAAUCCUCAGACGUUAGAUCUAGAUCAUGUGACCUUAAUUGGUGGUUGCAUAGGUUGCACACGAAGCUGGUGCAUAUGAUACGUUGCCCUUAUAGAAUACAUAGACGAAAAGGUAGAUAUUAUGUACUACUACGAUAGAAAUACAUCUUGUUUGGACUAAAUCUCCUUGUGUUGGUAAUAUAUAUACUGAUCCACCAUGCAUCCCGCUUGCACACAUGGCUCUCUUUGUUCAUUUUAUCCCAUGUUGAUGCUUGAGAGACCAUCACACCUGCAAGUAAAAAAUGUUAAAAAAAUUUAGGCUUGCAGCAACUAGAUGUCAUAUAGCAUAUAUAAGUACUGAAACCUUGUCUAUGCAAAUGCAUAAACAUGAGGCACACCAUAGCAUGUUACUGAACAAAAAUUGCAUAACCUUGUGUUUUUUUGCCUAAUCCAGUACACUAUUAUUGUCUAAUAAAUUUGACUAACUACCUUGCAUGCCAUGAUAUAGCAGCACACAUCUAUCCUAUACACUUAAAGUUGUAGAUUGCUCCCCCUCUCACAAAACUCCUAUACAUGAACAGCUCCCAGACUCAGAACACUGUUCUGGUAACAGUAUCCAAGCAACCACCGUCGGAUCAGGCCGUAGUGAGCACCUACCGUCCAUGCAAGGAAUCAUCAUAUAUGUGUCAAAAAUAUAGAUUUGGAUGAGCUACCUCCAGAUUUUCAAUAGAAGGCUACAUUGCCUAUUUAGGAGCACAUUGUUGCCUAACAAAUGACUUAAUUUGCCUACAUGCCAUGAUAUAGCAGCACACAUUUAUACUAACUGUCUUGCAUGAAAGGAAUCAUCAUAUAGGUGUCAAAAAUAUAGAUCUGAAUGAGCUACCUCCAGAUUAGCAACAAAAGGCUAAAAUGCCUAUUUAUGUGCACAUUGUUGUCUAACUAAUGACUUAAAUUGCCAUAAAAAUGACACUUAAAUUGCCUAAGAAAAUGGUUGUGUUUUUCUUUUGCGUGUGUGCCAUCAUACCUCGUUGCUGCCAUUUGGACACCGGCACACAUACUCCACAAAAUCCCUGCCCUCUAGACAUUGUAUGAAGAACUAUCCCUGUAAAUGCAUGCAAAAAAGAGUUGUUUUCAUUACAUUUGUAUAUAGCAAGAAGCAAAAAAAACAUCACAGGUAAAAUGCCUACAAUCUGAGAAUAGAACAAAGGGCAACUAGCUCAAUAAUAUAAGUCAUCUAGUAUUUUCAUGUGUGCUUAGAAAUAAGGAACUCACAUGAAGAAAAUUUGGUAGUUAGCCUACUCGGUGGCUAUUAUUUGGUUGUAGCUGCACCUUAUUGCAGUUAUACCUACAAUAUAGUCUAGUUCACUUUUGCGGCCAAAAUAGCAGCAGCCGGCUGUAAGAAGUUGCAUUUUCUUAGGCAAUUUAAGUGUCAUUCAUUAGACAACAAUGUCUUCUUAAAUAAGUAGUUUUUGUAUUCUGAAAAAGCAAGUAUAGUAUUUGUGUUCAUUAGCAACCCACAACCCCACUCCCACCCCCGGUGUAAAAAUAAGCAGAGACAUAUGACUGUAUGAACCAUCACCUAGCAUUGCUAUAGAAGUAACAUGUAGUACAUCUUUGGCAUGCAGAUCUCCAAUGAAUGUAGAAGUGUUAAACCUAAAUCACAAGAAUACAAGAGAAAAAGAGAAGUAGGGAUCAGUUCAGAGCAGAUCCCAGAUGUGUAUAGAAAGAUUCAACAACAUGUCAAAAGGUAAGAUGAUAAGACUGGUAACCAUAAAGUGAAACAGAUGGUAAAGAGAUAUAUGCAUCUUUGAUCUUUCCACCUAUAGUUCUUUCAAAAGUGAUAAUUGUUAACACUAAAAACCAAGUAAAAAAAUUAGUGUGAACUUAGAGAAAGUUACCAUGAACAAAAAUCUGGGUGUUAUCAUGUCUACUAAAAACGUUAAUUGAAACUGUAGGAUCUAUCAAUUUGUUUCACUCGACUUUAGUUGGUAAAUGUUUUCCAAACUCCAACUUAAUUUCACUAUCUUACCAGUUUAUUCUACUGGUGUUCUCAAUUGGUAACUAUUUUUCCAAAUCCUACUUAAUUAAGCAAGCUUGCAUUCGCAUCUCAGUAGUUCACUUAGCAGAAAGAAAAAUAUAAUAGAAUUAAAUCAUUCUACAAACACUCACAUCGUUGCAGCCUUUAUAAAGAUGCUUCCCCUAGAACCACCUCCACCCUUCUCAUUGCUAUCCCCACCUGUGCAUUCAUGACCAGGUCGUCAUCAUAAAUGGUAGCAAAAAAAGCUGAUAUGUUGCGUAUCUAAAUGAUAUAUCGUUGCCUAUCCAAUGUUAUGUUAUUGCCUGUAUGAGCCCUUAUUGUUGCCCCGCCGUAUAAAUUAAACCUAGAGGAGGAUUAACAAUGGCAUAGCAGGUAGCUAGCUAUUGCCACCUCCAACUUGCCUAUGUGCUAUGCUUGAGGUGAUGAGGAGGAGAAUCGCAUCAGCAGAUGAAUUAAUGGAUGAAUGAAUGAAUAAACAAGCCUGGUUGGUGCAGAGUACAGCAGCCGGUGGAGCAAUUGGACAAAGAUUGCAUGUGGUUGUCAGAAGACAGAUGAUGCAUCAUUGGAAAUGCAAGCCAAGGUUAGUACUAUAAAAUGUGAUAAUCACAAUCGGGUACCAAAAAGGUUCAGAGUGAUGGCUGCCGUACUUCAAAAUUUUGCAUCAGAGAUGUAGACAGAGGUAAAAUUUUACGGUUCAGUUCUGUAACCUAGCCUCAUUCAGUCUAUAUAACGUAAAUGUUGGCAAGAAAAAAUCUUACUCUGAUUUGUUUUGAAUCUUUUGAAUGAAGAUCUAUAAUACUAGAGUAUUGACAAUGUUUAGAAAAAAUCUCGUUAGUUGAUACAAUAAGCAAUUAUUAAAAGGACAGGGAAAUGUGAAUCAUCAUAAUUCAUACGCACAAGGUAAGGGUUCAACUAGAACGGUGACUGAAACUUACCCCCACAGUGCCACCAUUACUCAUGACAUCUAAGAAGUAGUGCCCGUGAGCAUGGCCAUUAUGCCAGCUCCUCUCACCAUUAUCCUUGGAAGCCUUGAUCUUUCUUCUUGACAACUUGGAUAACUGCAAGAAAGUAAACAAACAGAUACAGAGCAGGACCCAACGACAGUGACACAACAAAGCUGUUAUUGUUGCCUAUCUAAAUAAUAUAUAGUUGCCUAUCCAAUGUUAUGUUAUUGCCAGUGUGAACUCUUAUUGUUGCCUAUGCAGUGCUAUAUUGUUGCUUAAACAUAUAAAGGUGUCAAAUGCAGAAUCUUAAAUACACCUUCUAACUUCUUUGUCCUCUGUUUUGAGCAGUACUCAAUGAUCUUAAAUCAACUGCUCAACAAGCAUCUGCAUGCAUCUACAAGAGAAUGACCAAAUUAAAAUCCCAUCAUUCAGUCACACACUUAAUAAGCACCAGAACAUUGUGCCCUCAAAUACCAACAUAUAGAUUACAAAACUACAUAUACAACAACCACGAAAAUCGUAAAGCAAAAUUAAAACUAAAACCACUCAAUCAUAAUCACUGAAUAUUAAAAAAAUAGAACAGGAUCUGGAUCUCACAUUAUUACCUAACUGUCAAUCUGUCACCGACGAAGGAUUGGGAGCGGGCAGGACCGUGCAGCCGACAGGGAAAAGAGCCAGUGGAGGGCCGAAGGGCCUGCAAGCCGGCCGGCUUGGUCCCUGAUGUAGCCGCGCAGGCGGUCUGGGAAGCUCCUCGCCUGCAUAGCUAGUUAGGCGGGGGAGGUGACCGACGUGACCUUGGCUGUGGCCACCGGUCGGCUAGGCUCGGCCCCAGGCGCAACCGCGUAGGAAGGAGCUCUGGCCCCUGGCAGUGGAGGUCGGGUUGGGGAAUGUAUGACCUGCAACCAUGGAUGAGGCGUGGGGAAAUCGAAUAAAAACAAAUCAGCAUCAAAAUCAAUCAGCUCACAAUUACAGGCGAAUCGAUUAAGCGACGGCGACUUGCCUCACAACACUAUAGCAUUGAGCGAGGCCACUAGAUCGUGGAUCUAGGGCAUCAGACCCUGGAUCUAGGCCGCCUGUCCAUGGAUGCGGCGACGCCCACGGCACUAUCCAGGUGGCGGUGCAGGGAGGCGGCGACGGGGAGCAGGAAAGGGUCAGCGCUGGGGAGCGAGUCCACUGGAGCAGGUCGUGCUCAUGGAAGAAAGGUGACCACGCGGGCCGGGGGAGAGAGAGAGACAGGGGCGAGUGGAAGACGAGCAGGUGGGCGACGACGAGCGUAAGAAGUGUCCGUGUGGGGCGAUAAUAAGAUGACGGCCGGCCAAAACAAAGUCUUUACCUUUUUUUAAAAAAAAAACCCGAGGAACUAAACUUUUCAAGGAACCGAACGGAUAACCAAAUGCCAAUCCCCUAAAUACUGGAUUGAGGUGGACGCAAGUCCGGCACAAAAAGGCCAUAUGGAUUUCUGACGUGUUUCGUGGGUACCUUCCAACUAUUUCUGACUGCAUGACAAAUAUGUACGAAUUCGGACAGAGCUUGCCUCACAUGUUUCUGUACCACCAAAAACCAGGUAAAUAGACCAGUUGAAACAAAACUGUACAGCUCGAGAGGCUAACACUAUCCCCACCAAAGAACAAGUGGGCGUGUUUGGUUGCCCCUUCUCCCCCAUCCUGAUUUUGCUCAUGCGUAUAUAUAUACCAAAAGAAGCUUCUUUGGUUGCCUUCAUUUACUGUUCUAUGCUAUAAUCAACAAUUGUACUCCUGUUAUAAAAAACAAUUGUACUCCCACAUGUGAUAUGCACUACUACAGGAUUGAUUAACCGCAACGAGCCCAUUUCCACCUCCGUGGCAGGCACAGUUUUCAUCCGCCACGGUUAUUCAACCGCACACAAUUACUUUUGGCCACAGGAACGCCCGCUGCGAAGACAAUGGCAAAGGACAAGGCGAUGGCCAUGGCCAGGACAAGGAGAAGGCACAAGACGAGGACGAUGGCGGAGAUAAGGAGAAGACACAAGUAGAUGAGGGGGACAAAGACAUGGGCACAACCUGUGCCCCUCCUCCAAACAGCCCACCUCGGAGCCCAAACAGACAACAAGGAGGCACGGAGGAGGCAACGAGGACUAAGACACCUCUGCCAACAGCUACUCCUACGCUUGAAGCCCCCUCCUCCACCAAGCAAGGAUGCAUGCAUGACCGCUAAGGAUGAAAACGGAACAGAAAUAUCGCAAACCGAACCGAACCGCUUUCUAUAUUGGAUCCGAUCGAAUUUAUAUUUUCUUGUCCGACUUUACCGUUUUCGCUUUUGUAUUUUAGAUGUUUCGUAUUUCAAAUGUAAAAGUAGAAAACGGUUUAGACAUUUUUCGACCGUUUUCUACUUUUCUACUUUUAAUUUGAAAUAUUUUGAAUUCAAAAUUUGGUUUAAAUCGAAUUUAGUCAACUGCACGGUCACACAGCCCCAAUUACAGAGUACUCACCAAGGAUUUGUGUUCUUUCUACUAGUGGCUAGCUAUGUUCCUGCUAGCUAUUAAUUGUUUGUUCUUAUUUAUGUGUGGGCUAUUGUAUUAAAUACCUAAGACCAAGAAUCAUGCACUUUUUAAUUAUUAUAUGCACUUAAACUUGAUCGUGUGUAUACUUAGUUAUGCACUUGGUACUACACAUCGGUAUUUCGUAUUGAGUUUCCGUAUAUCGACCGUGUUCGACAUAAAUCUGCUUGAAUUGGUUCGUUUUCGAAAUUCUUGAUAUUUCGUAAGUUCGCGUUCGUUUUCGUGUCCGACUUUACCGUUUUCGUUUUCGUUUUCGUUUUCGUAUUUCAAAUGUAAAAAUAGAAAACAAUUUAGGAGUUUUUCGACCGUUUUCAUCCUUAAUGACCGCCACACUGCUCCCGUACACUACUACGUCCGAAAGGUAUGAGAUAAACAAACAUAAUAUUCUCGUAACCUUUCUAUAACACAUCAAAUGGUAAUAACAUUUGUAUCCAUGUUUUGCCAGGCCUACAAAUACUCUUCAGAUCAAUCUAUUUACCGAGGCGGAAGACUGUCCUGGCCACUAUGAGCUUGGAAAGUUCAUGCUACCUAAGGCUCAGCUCAUCGACGAUGAAAAGUGGGAUACAAGGAAGUUCCACCUGUGGUAUAUGGAAGCGGCAAAAGCCGAGAUGACAGGUUUCACCGUCAAGAUUCCCAAGGAGUUGUUCCACUUGCCCGGUGGCGAUAUUCAGCUACAUGUGGACUUCUAGGACAUGUACAAUCUAUUGCGGGAUGAAGACCUUGACAUCGUCCAAAUCACCUUAUUCUCUCUGUAACUGAUGAUUGCGACCUUCAUAGACCAAUCUCUACAUUUGUAUUGGAGAACUAUAUGAUUUUUAGGACACGAUGACUUGUCCGUGCAGGUUGACGGUCACUAUUAGCAACAAAAGGCACCAUCCUAUCCUAUACCUCUCUCCAAUGCAUAUUGCUAAGAGAGUGAUCAAGGGUUUCAACAUAAUAGACCCAGAGUUGACCGUGCGACAGAGGGAAAAGAAGUACGAAGACAACAUGAAAGAGGAGAAGAAGAAAUUGUUAAGGUACAUCUUUGAAGUAGUGAAGAAGCUCAACCCGGAUGGGCCGCAUUGUAUUAUGGCUACCUACCACUUUGGGUAAGUCAAAAACAUCCAUGUAGAGCAAAAGUGGUUAGGAUCAUGCCUUCUCAUCGACAUAACUUAUACUUUGUUUCAAUGGUGUAGAAAUGACCUAGCCGGCGGCCACUGGGUUGCCUUCCUCAUCUAUCCUCAAGAUGGCCGGAUUGUCAUAUUUGACUCGUUACAGGUCCCGGACAAAAAGGGAUACAAAGCCUUCGAAGACUGCUUGAAAAAGUAAGCCACCGAGCUUCUUGAUCAUUUACGGUUAUCGUAUUCAAAUUGACGCUAACACUAAUACACUUCGUACAGCGCUUAUAGUGCAUAUCUCAAGGAUCCGCAAUGCUAGAAUUAGAGAACGGAGAAAUUUAAGAAGAGGCAUAAGCACCACCUCAAAAUCCGACAUGAUUUCCCGGUAAGUAUGUUUCAAAGGUAGUUCAAUCAUGUUUGUGGUACAUAUGUGUUCUAAUGCUUCUAUAUCGAUCAUGCAGUGCGCCAAACAACCCUUGGGAUCAAAGGCAUGUGGCUUGUACACCUGCGAGAACCUAAGGUAAAGCAGGGAGUACACCAACAGCUGGAAGAAGCUCAAGGAAGCACUGAAGGAUCAUGGAGAGACGAUGAAGAAUGAACACCACGCUUUCAAGCAAAUCAAGGCGGACAUUUGUAAGUUCAUCCUAGAGAAAUGUGUGCUCGAAGGCGAACCAUUCUUUGACAAUGAAGGUGAAUUUGCGGUUCGACCUGAGUUCGAGAAGUUUAGGAGAUGGAACACCAUGCUACGGCCGACGGAUUACGUCCAUACAGUAGAAUUGUGAUGUAUAGCGGCUUCCUCGGUUUCCUAUGUGUAUAUGUGAAUGAUGAGAACAACUAAGUGGAUUUAUAUAUUAUGUCAUGUCUUAUGUAUUGAACUUCUAGGCAUAUAUAUAUAUAUAUACGGCAGCGCUAUUCUACACCCUAAAUCUGAGCAGAAAAAUACUGAGCAAUACUGAACAACGUUCAGUAUCAUCCAGGACCGCGAAAUACUGAAUAAUACUAAAAUAUGGGUACUGAAUAAUACUGAAAUUUGUUCAGUAUAACACUUUGGUGUAGAAUAGUAUUCUACACCUAGAGUGUAGAAUAGCACUAUAAACACCCGGCGACCCCGACCAGCCAUAUACGGGCUCCUUGACAAAUACACAAUGAAACACAACGAAGUUGUUAUGGUAUCCAAAGGAUUUUUCUAUGGUAAAGACUUUGUUUUGGCCGGCCGUCAUCUUAUCGCCCCGCACGGACACUUCUUACGUUCGUCGUCGCCCACCUGCUCAUCUUCCACUCGCCCCUGUCUCUCUCUCUCUCUCUCCCCCGCGUGGUCACCUUUCUUCCAUGAGCACGACAUGCUCCAGUGGACUCGCUCCCCAGUGCUGACUCUUUCCAGCUCCCCGUCGCCGCCUCCCUGCACCGCCACCUGGAUAGCGCCGCGCAUUUUAGCCUUUUGUUGCUAAUCUGGAGGUAGCUCAUUCAGAUCUAUAUUUUUGACACCUAUAUGAUGAUUCCUUUCAUGCAAGACAGUUAGUAUAAAUGUGUGCUGCUAUAUCAUGGCAUGUAGGCAAAUUAAGUCAUUUGUUAGGCAACAAUGUGCUCCUAAAUAGGCAAUGUAGCCUUCUAUUGAAAAUCUGGAGGUAGCUCAUCCAAAUCUAUAUUUUUGACACAUAUAUGAUGAUUCCUUGCAUGGACGGUAGGUGCUCACUGCGGCCUGAUCCGACGGUGGUUGCUUGGAUACUGUUACCAGAACAGUGUUCUGAGUCUGGGAGCUGUUCAUGUAUAGGAGUUUUGUGAGAGGGGGAGCAAUCUACAACUUUAAGUGUAUAGGAUAGAUGUGUGCUGCUAUAUCAUGGCAUGCAAGGUAGUUAGUCAAAUUUAUUAGACAAUAAUAGUGUACUGGAUUAGGCAAAAAAACACAAGGUUAUGUAAUUUUUGUUCAGUAACAUGCUAUGGUGUGCCUCAUGUUUAUGCAUUUGCAUAGACAAGGUUUCAGUACUUAUAUAUGCUAUAUGACAUCUAGUUGCUGCAAGCCUAAAUUUUUUUAACAUUUUUUACUUGCAGGUGUGAUGGUCUCUCAAGCAUCAACAUGGGAUAAAAUGAACAAAGAGAGCCAUGUGUGCAAGCGGGAUGCAUGGUGGAUCAGUAUAUAUAUUACCAACACAAGGAGAUUUAGUCCAAACAAGAUGUAUUUCUAUCGUAGUAGUACAUAAUAUCUACCUUUUCGUCUAUGUAUUCUAUAAGGGCAACGUAUCAUAUGCACCAGCUUCGUGUGCAACCUAUGCAACCACCAAUUAAGGUCACAUGAUCUAGAUCUAACGUCUGAGGAUUUUUUCACUUAAACCCCUCCACCUGUGGGUUUAAAUCUAACCCGUGUGUAUCUAGAUGGGAGGGUUUAAAUGAAAAAACCUCAGACGUUGGAUUUAGAUCUUGUGGCCUUAAUUGAUAGUUGCAUAGGUUGCACACGAAGCUGGGUUACACAGGAUACGUUCCCUUCUAUAAGAAGCCUGAGUUGCUAUACAAAACAUCUCAAGGUGCCCAAAAUGACAUAUGUGGAUUGUUAUACGAAAUAUCUCAAGAUGUCCAAAAUGUCAUGUGUGAUGAAUAGUUAUAUUUGAUUUCGGCUUAUUUUGGUGAAUGUAUCAAAUUUGUAAUAUUUGGGAUAUGAGCUAAAUAAUGCCUAGAAAAUCUAGGAGCAGCGAGUUAGUUGGAAGAAGUAGAAAACGACAACAAGAGAAAAAGGAGUGCAAAAGCAAAUAGGAAUGGUUACUGAUGGUUUUAAAAAACCUUCCGUAAACACGGAAUGUACGUACCGGAAGCUUAAUGCACGGCCGGCCGUGCAUUAGCCGUUUCCUAAAAAACGGUUUCUAGAAAAUGGGAACCGGUUGAUUCCAAAAUUCUAGUAAAUGAAAGUCUUACAAAAUACAAGUACAACUCAUGUAUUUAGGUUCUUUUGGUUAAUUGGUUAACCGAGAGUAGGAACCCAAGUUUCUUUGGUUAUUUCGGUUUUGGCUAUAUGACCGAAUAAAGAACUAAACCUUUUGGUUUCGAGUCUUUCAGUUUAAGUUCAGGUUCUUUUUUUUAUGUUUUUUUGGUUUCAGGUAGUUAUGCCCAUCCCUAGUAUUGGAGUAUAUUAAAGUGGAAAUUCACUCAGGGUCGAGGCCUUGAGGUUCUGUUUGACUGCACUCAUAUCUAUCCAAAUCGACAUUGUGUUAAGGCGGAUUAUGGUGAAAAUUAAACUAACUUAGAGCAUUUCCACCACUUUCCUAAUAAUCAAUCCCCAAUAUGUAUAUAUUGGAGUAAGCCAAUAUUAUUAUUCCUAAAUAUUGGAGUGCCUGCAACAUUACCCCAAUACCCAUAUGGAAGAUGGAUCCCAUAAGAAUGCAGGGAGAAAGAUGGAUAAAAAGUAGUAGUUGGGGGAAUCCCCAUGUUAUUGAGUGAGAUACAUCUUCCCCUUUAUUUGAGGAAGGAUGAGAAAAAUAUUAGUGAUAAAAAAGAAAGUAUUAGAGAACUGAGCAAGAAAGAAGCAUAGUUAUCUCUAAUAUGAUAUUUUUAUGGGAUAGGGAGAAGUAUUGGGGAUUUGGGGUACUAUCGGAGACGUUGUUACAUUUUUGCCACAAACUGUUGUCUGAGAGUUGCCUGUAAAGUUUAGAAAAUUUGGAAAAAUGUGUUUGGUUGGAUGCCUAUGCCUGAGAACGCUAACUAAAGUAAAUUGAUUUUGUAUUAUCUAAAUAAGACCCGCAUACAUUAUUAUUGUUUGUAUAUUGAGAUAAAUUAUUUGUAUUAGCCUUUUUCUGAGUUCGUAAGAUUAAAAUAAUUAUUUUUCGUUAUAUUUAAUUAGAGUGAAGCAUGAGGAAUUAAAGUAACUAUAAUUAAUUAUUUUUUAUAAGUUGUCUUGUCAAGUCCGCAUAACCAUGUACUCUAAUUCAAGUAAAAAAACGAUAUAGGAUUUAGAAAUCGUUUAUGACAGUGACAUGGUCUUCAAAAUACAACUUUAAUCUCUUAUUUUUAUAAAAAUAUUUAGAAAAAAUGAUAUAUGUAUAUUUUUAUAAAAGUAUUUUUCAAAAAUAAAUCUAUUCAUAUAAUUUUCACAUUUACAAACUUAACAAUUUAAAAGUUAUUGGUAAUUUAUAUUCUCAAUAUUUGACUCAAACUUUAUCCAAAAGAGCUUCUAAAUCCUAGGAGGGAGUAGUUAAUUAAGAAAAGAGAGAUAAGACAGAACCGGUGCGAUUAGCAUACCAUAGCUAUUUCCAGGCAAGUGAGCUUUUACACCAGGCGCUGGAUAUCGUCCGCAUGGCUGGGCCAUUGUUGCCUGGAGCAGGCAAGGUGCAACUAAACGGUGUACAGGCAAAAACCAGGCAGCUGUUCAUCGAGGUAAUUGGAGUCCUAGUUUAGACUAUCUCCAAUAAUCAUCACUUAAAAUACAAGAUUCAUUUGUCCUUUGGAUAGCGCUAUAGGUAAAAGGUUUCAUACAUAAUUUUAGUCUUCUCCAACAACAAGAUCUAACCGUGUGUUUGGUUGGGGGUUGGGUGGGUUGGGUUGGAUCCAACACAGUUUUUAGGGACGGAGCCAACCCGUCCAGUGUUUGGUUGCACUUCUGAUUUUGGGGACGGAGCCAACCCAUUUUAGUGUUUGGUUGAAGAAUUGGGGACAGAGCGGCUCCGUUCAGUGUUUGGUUGAAGGAAUUUAGUGUUUGGUGGGAGCCAACCCAGCUGGAGCGGCUCCGUCCGCCAGAUUUUGACGGACGAGUCCAACCCGCAUCUGAGAGGAAUAUUCCACCCUGGAGCCAACCCAACCCUCUCAUCCUCCAACCAAACAGCCACAGGAAUGAGUUCGCUCCGACCCGGCUCGCCCCGCUCUCCAACCAAACACACGGUAAAAGACAACACUUUCUGCAAAUGGGUCUCGAGAAGAGAGGAUACCCAAAUUUAAAUUAUGUCUCUCCUAAUACUUAAAAUGAGUUUUCUGUAUGUGUACUUUAUUGAUACUAUAGGUAUUGUGUUGAAGACCCAUUUUAGGUUUGGGUUCCCAAAUAGGUCUUCUAUUUGAGACAAUCUUAGAAAAAAAAAGCCUAUCCCAGGUGUAUAGGAUGGAAAACACGUGAAAGAAUGAAAGCUAUCACCUAUUCUAGAUACAGAUAUGGUUCAGGUUACAGACCACCUUGCUAUUCCUCUAUUUCAAAUUAUAAGUCAUUUAAAGAAUCUUGGAAAGUCAAAACAUCUCUAGGUUUGAUCAAAAUUAUAGAGAGAAAUACUAAGAUUUGUAACAUAAAGUGAGUAUAUUAUGAAAAUAUAAGUAAGAAAGAAUCUAAUGAUACUUAGUUGAUAUCAUAAUAAUUAUUAUUUUAUCAUAUAAAUUUAGUUAAACUUUAGAUAUUUUUAUUCUCCAAAAUUCUUAAAAUAACUUAUAAUUUAGGAUGCAGGAAGUACAUCGGUAUAAACUAUGUUGUAAACUGUUGUUAAAGCUAAUUCUUCGUUGCAUGAAUCUAAGUCAAAACUUGCGAUGAUGCGGGAGCACAUGGCCAUGUACUCCCUCUAGUCCUCCUUUGAGCAGCAGCUGCAUCAGGCUUUCUCAAACACACUACGGUGGUAUGUUGUCUCGGUGUCCACCUCAGCUUCAGACUUCCAUAUCAUAGAAAAUUAGCCUCGCAGAGAGUCAUAUUGUCUUGCAAAGGAAACCAUUACCUCAUCUGACAAAAGUCAGAAGCAACAUCGGGAGCGCGGUGCGGUGGGAGUAAACUUUCUCAGGCUAGAAUAGAGUAGUGUGCUGAGUGUGGAUCUCGAAAGAGACAACACACAUACAACUUACAUUGAGAAUAAUCCUUCGGGUGUACGUGGAGGGUGACCUUUUCUCUAGGGCUAAUGCUGCUAUAUGCCCGCGUUGUUAUUGGCCUCACACGGCUCCGCACAUGCUUCAUCGUGUCAUUGUCGAGCCUGGCGUCAUGGAUUUUGGCCAUGUCUCCCGUGCGGGAGGGGUUCAUGAGAAUAAUGUGUUUUGUUUGGGUUGGACCUUGUUUAGCACUACUACACAAUAGGCCUUUAGUCACUUGUCCAAAAUGAACAAUAAUCUCGACCAAAACAGCGUCAGGGACAAAAACAUAUUUAGUCUCGGUUGGUGAGACCAACCGGGACUAAAAGUCCCCUACCCAACGGCUAUUGUGUCAGACAUCGGCGGAGGAGACUUUUAGUCCCGGUUGGUCUCACCAACCGGGACAAAAGCCUAGCCUUUAGUCCCGGUUGGUGGUACCAACCGGGAUUAAAAGCUGUUGUCCCGGUCCGUCCCACCGGCCGGGACUAGUGUUGGAAUUUAGACCCGGUUUUUAAAAGGACCGGGACUAAAUGUCCCUCCCCAUAUUUGAACUCUUCUUCCCGUGGCCGAGCCCAUCGAUCUUCACUCUUUUGCUCUGUUCUUCAUUUGGAGUUGCUUGUUCUUGCUCUCAUCUCCGGCUAUUGAUUCAUUUCAUUGUUUCUACACCGUCAUCGACUUGUUAAGAGGUCACUAGCUUCAUCUUCUCAACAUUUAGAAGCGGCAUAUGUCAUUUCCUAGUGUUAUGUAUAUUGUUUUUUUAUUUUAUGGUUUUUUUAAGAGGUUAUUAGCUUCAUCGCCAUUUCAAAAGCGACACGUUCUUUUAGAGAAAUAGUGGUAAUAUGUUUUUUUAUUUUAAUUAGUUUAGAAAAAAAAUAAAAACAUAUAAUACUUUAAUUUGCAAUUUUUGACCGAUUUAGUUAGUUAAUUAUAACUAGUAUGCAUACCACAUUUCAUGAUUAUUUAGGAAAAUAGAGAAUUUUUGUGCUUUUUUAAUAUUGCUUGUUUAGAUAAAUUAGAAAUAGAGAAUUUUAGGUUUUUUGUUACUUUAAUUUCUCUAUUAAAAAUUAGAAACUUAUAAUACUUUAAUUUGCACUUUAUGACAUGGUUAAUUAGUUAAUUAUAACUAGUAUGCAUGCCACAUUUCAUGAUUAGUUAGAAAAUAGAGAACUUUUAUGUCUUUUUAAUUUUGUUGGUUUAGAAAAACCAGAAAUAGAGAAUUUUAGGUUAUUUGUUACUUUAAUUUCUUUAUAAAAAAUUAGAAACUUAUAAUAUUUUACAUUGCAAUGCAGACAAUGACACGUCAUUGGAUGUACAAUGCCGAUCGCCGCUCCAAAGAAUUCAUUGAUGCUGUGCAUUAUUUCUUAAGAGUGGCCGAGGAAAACAAGGGGGAUGGAUUCAUACGUUGCCCAUGUGCCUUGUGUCAGAAUUUGAAGGAAUAUUCUAGCUCUAGAAAUAUUCACUCACAUUUGUUGAAGUCGGGUUUUAUACCAAACUAUAUUUGUUGGACCAAGCAUGGAGAAAACGGGAUAAUGAUGGAAGAAGGUGAAGAAGAACAGUUGGAGCCUGACGACAUUAUUGCUCAAUACGGUGACUUCGGUGAUACAGCAAUGGGAGAAGCUGAAGAUGAGGCAGGUGCAGAAGGUGCACCUGUUGAAGAUGAUGCUCUUGGUGAUGUCAUUCGUGAUGCACAAAAAGAUUGCGAAAGUGAAAAAGAGAAGACAAAGUUUGACCACAUGUUAGAAGAUCACAAGAAAUUACUAUACCCAUCUGCCCAGGAUGGGCAAAAAAAACUGGGUACAACACUAGAAUUGUUAAAAUGGAAGGCACAGAAUGGUGUAUCCGAUAAGGCAUUUGGGCAAUUACUGAAGAUCCAAAAAAAAUGCUGCCGAAGCCUAAUGAACUGCCCACUACUACGUACGAAGCAAAACAGAUCGUCUGUCCUUUGGGAUUAGAAAUCAAGAAGAUACAUGCAUGUCCUAACGACUGCAUCCUAUACCGUGGCAAGGACUACGAGAAUUUAGAUGAAUGCCCCAUAUAUAAAGCAUCACGGUAUAAGAUUAGGCGAGAUGACCCUGGCGAUGUUGAGUGGGAAGAACGUCCUAGAAAAAAAAUCCCUGCAAAGGUUAUGUGGUAUGCUCCUAUAAUACCACGUCUGAAACGUCUUUUUAGAAAUAAGGACCAUGCAAAAUUGUUGCGGUGGCACAAAGAAGACCAUAAAGUAGACAACAUGUUGAGACACCCUACUGAUGGGUCCCAGUGGAGAGCAAUAGACAGGGAAUUUCCAAAGUUUGCAAAAGACGCAAGAAACUUAAGGUUCGCUUUAAGUACGGACGGUAUGAAUCCUUUUGGUGAGCAAAGCAGUAGUCAUAGCACUUGGCCUGUUACACUAUGUAUCUACAACCUUCCUCUAUGGUUAUGCAUGAAGCGAAAGUUCAUUAUGAUGCCGGUGCUCAUCCAAGGCCCGAAGCAACCGGGCAAUGACAUUGAUGUCUAUCUAAGGCCAUUAAUUGAAGAACUCCUUCUUUUAUGGAGUGAAACAGGUGUUCGUGUGGCGGAUGAGUACAAACAGGAACACUUCGACCUACGAGCACUGUUGUUUGUGACAAUCAAUGAUUGGCCUGCUCUAAGUAAUCUUUCAGGGCAGACAAACAAGGGAUAUAAUGCAUGCACACGUUGUUUUGAUGACCUUGAUAGUAUAUAUUUGAAAAAAUGCAGAAAGGUCGUGUACCUUGGGUAUCGUCGAUUUCUUUCUAUGAAUCACCCAGUUAGAAAGAAAGGAAAGCAUUUUAAAGGUAAGGCAGACCACCGAUGCAAGCCUCGCAACAGAACUGGAGAUGUAUUUGAGAUGGUUAAGGAUGUGAAAGUAGUUUUUGGUAAGGGACAAGGCAGCCAACCAGUUCCAAAAGAUGCAGCGGGUCAUGCACCCAUGUGGAAGAAGAAGUCAAUAUUUUGGGAGUUACCCUAUUGGCAAGUCCUAGAGGUCCAGAAUGCGAUCGACGUCAUGCACCUAACAAAGAAUCUUUGUGUGAACCUUCUAGGAUUCAUGGGUGUAUAUGGUAAGCCUAAGGAUUCACUUGAAGCACGACAAGACUUGCAACGCACGGAAGAACGAGACAACCUGCAUCCAGAGAAGACAGAUGAUGGACGCCAAUAUUUAAGACCUGCUAGCUACACUCUUAGCAAUGAAGAGAAAGAAAUCAUGUUUGAAUGCUUAAGCAGCAUCAAGGUCCCAUCUGGAUUCUCCUCUAAUAUAAAAGGUAUAAUUAAUGUGCCUGAGAAGAAAUUUUUGAACUUAAAGUCGCAUGACUGCCAUGUGCUUAUGACGCAAUUGCUUCCAGUUGCAUUAAGAGGAAUUCUACCUCCACAUGUACGUCUGGCCACCGUAAAGCUAUGUGCAUUCCUCAAUGCAAUUUCUCAGAAGGCAAUCAAUCCACUGGAACUAGCUGCUCUACAGAAUGAUGUGGUUCAAUGUCUUGUCAGCUUUGAGUUAGUGUUCCCUCCAUCCUUCUUUGAUAUCAUGACACACCUCCUAGUUCAUCUGGUCAAGGAGAUCAAUAUUCUAGGUCCUGUGUUCCUACAUAAUAUGUUUCCCUUUGAGAGGUUUAUGGGAGUUCUGAAGAAAUAUGUUCACCAACGUGCUCGGCCAGAAGGAAGCAUCACCGAGGGCUAUGGGACAGAGGAGGUCAUUGAGUUCUGUGUUGAAUUCAUUCCUGAACUUGACCCAAUUGGUGUUCCUGAAUCGCGCCACGAGGGGAGACUGAGUGGAAAGGGAACACUAGGAAAGAAAACAUACAUCGGUACGGGGGACGAUUCUUUCAAUAAAGCACCCUACACAGUUCUUCAAAACUCAUCCGUGGUGGAGCCGUAUGUCACGAAACACAAGGACUUCCUACGAUCGCAAUUCCCAGAGNNNNNNNNNNNNNNNNNNNNNNNNNNNNNNNNNNNNNNNNNNNNNNNNNNNNNNNNNNNNNNNNNNNNNNNNNNNNNNNNNNNNNNNNNNNNNNNNNNNNNNNNNNNNNNNNNNNNNNNNNNNNNNNNNNNNNNNNNNNNNNNNNNNNNNNNNNNNNNNNNNNNNNNNNNNNNNNNNNNNNNNNNNNNNNNNNNNNNNNNNNNNNNNNNNNNNNNNNNNNNNNNNNNNNNNNNNNNNNNNNNNNNNNNNNNNNNNNNNNNNNNNNNNNNNNNNNNNNNNNNNNNNNNNNNNNNNNNNNNNNNNNNNNNNNNNNNNNNNNNNNNNNNNNNNNNNNNNNNNNNNNNNNNNNNNNNNNNNNNNNNNNNNNNNNNNNNNNNNNNNNNNNNNNNNNNNNNNNNNNNNNNNNNNNNNNNNNNNNCAGAUAUUUCAAAAGAUUAUGAAAGGGAUGACCGAAUCACGCUUUUCAAUGUGACCAAAGAUCCGAGCAUACUGAUAAAUGCUGAGGACACUCCAUGGUUACGUCAAGAUCAUGACCAAGGAACAUACGUCAAAAAGAAGAUCACUAUUGUGCCCGCCUAAUAAAUAGAUUGCAAUAUAGUAUGUGUAUGUGACAUUUGUAACUUAAGAUGUUUAUAUUAGUUUUUCUUAUUUUAUAUCAUUUCAAAUAAUGAAAUGACAUUUAAGUUUGCUAUAUGAAACUACAUGUGUCAAUUGUGGAUUUUGAACUACACCUUCGCAACACUUUGUCAAAUGCAAAAAAUGGUCUAUAUAUUAAAUGUAGAUUUUGAUGAGUGGAACAAUAUUGGUAUUCAUGACUUUUCCGUUCGAGACCAUCUAGGGUUCCGAAAACCAAUGCGUGGCUAUGAAUUCUAUCAAAAUUCAAAAUUGAGUGGUUCAAACUUUUCCAAAAGAAAAGUUGACCAUUAGACAAAAUGUAGAACUUGAUGAGUGCAACAAACUUUGUAUUCAUUACUUUUCCAUUUGGGACCAUAUAGGGUUCGGUCAAAGUGUGUGUUUCUAAAAACCAAUGCUUUGACUUUGGUCAAACUUGGUCAAAUGACCCAUUUGAUGACUUGAAAUGAAAAAAAUUUGAAUACAAAGUUGUUAGAGAUCAUCAAGAUCUACAUUUGAUAUAUUGUCUAUUUUUCCAUUUGGAUAAAUUUGACGGUAUUGGUCAAACUUGGUCAAAUGACAAACUAAAUUACUUAAAAUGAAACAAUUUUGAAUACCAAGUUGUUAGAUAUCAUCAAGAUCUAAACUUUUUAUAUAGAUAAUAGAUCUAAACUUUUUAUAUAGAUAAUUUUUCCAUUUGAGAAAGUUUAAGUUCACAAUACCCACCAAUUCUUGAAUCUCACACAAACUAUAUGAAACUACAUGUGUCAAUUGUGGAUUUUGAACUACACCUUCGCAACACUUUGUCAAAUGCAAAAAUAGUCUAUAUAUUAAAUGUAGAUUUUGAUGAGUGGAACAAUAUUGGUAUUAAUGACUUUUCCAUUCGAGACCAUCUAGGGUUCCGAAAACCAAUGCGUGGCUAUGAAUUCUAUCUAAAUUCAAAAUUGAGUGGUUCAAACUUUUCCAAAAGAAAAGUUGACCAUUAGACAAAAUAUAGAACUUGAUGAGUGCAACAAACUUUGUAUUCAUUACUUUUCCAUUUGGGACCAUAUAGGGUUCGGUCAAAGUGUGUGUUUCUAAAAACCAAUGCUUUGACUUUGGUCAAACUUGGUCAAAUGACCCAUUUGAUGACUUGAAAUGAAAAAAAUUUGAAUACAAAGUUGUUAGAGAUAAUCUGAUGUAAUGGUGAAUAUUGUUGUAAGCAUAAAUAAAUAAGAAAUAGAGAAAAAUUUUAAAAAAAUAAUUCGAUGUAAUGGUGAAUAUCACGUAUAUCAUGAUUUUGGAGAUAAAUGAUGAUAAAUAAACAAAAUUUACAUUUAAAUAUUGCACAAACAAAUUUUUCUAUCAAAAACAUCUGCUUUAAGAUAUUAAAAUUAAAUAAUACAUUUUUGCAUUAACAAAAUACUAAUUAUUUUUCAUAUUUAAGUUUGUUAAUUGUCGAGGGUAUCAGUAAGGGGUAUCCUCACUAAUGCACAUAACAAGAUUACCCGUAUGCAGGUCGAGGCCCUCAACUCGACCCUAAACCCUAAACCCUAAACCCCUACCUGGCGCGCCAACUGUCGGUGUUUUCCCACGGGGGUCACACCAACGAGUAAAUUUGUAUGCGUGCUCCCUUUCCCAAAUGGUGAUGCAAGAAUACACAAAGAUUUAUCCUGGUUCGGGCAAGAGAAGGCCCUACGUCCAGCGGGGGAGGGAAGUUUGUAUUAUCUUGCACCUAAGUGCUUGUACAGGGGUGGAUACAAGCGUGGUAUGGAAUGGAGUAUGGGAGUUCUACUGAGUAUGGUGUAGUGUUGCGCGUGUGUUAUCUAUUCCCGGGUCCUUCCUUUUAUAGCACCAAGGAGAGACCGAGGGUACAUGCGUAGGUAUCAGAGUAGGGGUCGAUAGAAGCAUGGCGCGCUGACCUACUCGAGGCCUCCGUACCGGCGUAGUCUCGAGCCGUCCCGUCUCGGUAGCUUGAUGAUGAUUACGCGUGCUCCUGUAUCCUGCUCUGCGCGCCGUCUUGGGCUGGUUCACCGAUCGCACGCUUGUACGGUAUGGCGGCAGAUCUGGCGGAGUGGUUGCGGUGUUGUCAGUCGACGCCCAAUUCGUCUCCAAGAAGGAACCAUGUCUGGUCGAGGGUCGGACGCCGUGCAAUCCCCUGAUAUCCGGAGCGCUGACCUUGGUUGUCUCGAGGAGGUCCUGAUUAGACGUUCCAUUCCUGUUUCCCACGUCCUGACACGCCCUGGGUUGUUUGGUGGGGAAGGCUGCAAAAAGUACGACGGGACAGGUGCCUGUUCCCUAUCACGCUUCCCGUGAUCAGCGCGUUAGGUGGGAAAGCGACAGGCGCAUUAAAUGCCCUGGCUCUCGUGCGUGCGUCAGGCGACGGGCGGCGUCCUUGCGCUCGACGCCUCCUGGUUCGCGCGAGCCCGUUUCCGUAUUCGACGGUAGCUGGUGCUCGACCCCUGAUCGAUUCGCUCGAUGCCAUUUCCGUCUUUGAGGCUGCGGUCGUCGACGACCGCGCAUAUGUAUGACCAGAGCGUCGAGUUGAGGGCCUCGACCUGCAUACGGGUAAUCUUGUUAUGUGCAUUAGUGAGGAUACCCCUUACUGAUACCCUCGACAUUAAUAUAAGUGAUGAAAAGAUUUUAUGUUUCCAAAUUUAUUAUGUAACCAAUUAGACAAAAAGAAAUGGAACUAUUAUUUUUUAACAAAUUAAUACCUAUUAUUCUAUUUACUAUGCAAUGAAAAACAUUAAUCUAAUUAUUGUAUGCAUAAAUAAAUAAGAAACUGAAAAAUACAUUUAGUCCCGGUUUCUGGCUAGAACUGGGACCAAAGGUUGUAUUUAGUCCCGGUUCUAGCUAGGAACCGGGACUAAAGGGUGGACCUUUAGUCCCGGUGCGUAGCACCAACCGGGACUAAAGACCCUUUAGUCCCGGUUGGUGUUAGUGUUACGCACCGGGACUAAAGGUCUCCGCGUGUAUAUAAGAAAACUGUCGUCUUCAUCCUCCAGAUCGACGUUGCCCUAGCCUUCUUCACCGCUGCCGCUCCCCGCGCUGCCUCCACAUCCUGCCCGAGCCACCGCUGCCUCCUUCUUCUCCGGCGUAGAGACUCUCCCGGACGAGCGCCGCCGCCGCUUCCUCGCCUCCGGACAUCGUCGCGCCGCCUCCUCGUCAUCCCCGAGCCGUACGUCGUCGUCGCGCCCCUGUGCGGCCUUCGAGCUUCUCCGGCGCCGCCUCCUCGCCCUCAUCGCCCCCGCGGCCACCUCCUCGCCCUCGUCAGAGCGCCUCCGACCGUCGCUCUCCUCCCCGGCCAGAGAACGCUCGCGCCGCCGUCGUCGAGGAUGAGCACGUUUAGUGAAUUUUAUUUGAAUGAAUGAGGCGGCGCCGGAGAAGAAUCCGUUCCCAAACGAUUUUAGUGAAUUUUAUGAAUGAGAUGAUUUUAGUGAAUUGUAUGAAUGAGAUGAUUUUAGCGAAUUGUAUGAAUGAGAUGAUUUUAGUGAAUUUUAUUUUUGAAUGAAAAGAAUCGGUUCCCAAACGCAUGAUAAAAAUCAUUUUAGUGAAUUUUAUUUGAAUCAAAACUAUAAUUUAAACUAUGAAUCUGUUGUGGCCCAAAUGCAUGAUAAAAAUCAUUUUAGUGAAUUUUAUUUGAAUCAAAACUAUGAAUCGGUUCCCAAACGCAUGCCCACGAGAAAUACGUACCUCUCGCCAAAAUAUACUCCUACAUCUAUACUUGUUGCACUCCGAUCGACGAAACACAUGCGCUCACGAAAUGUACACUUUUUAAAAAUCAAACAAUUCAAAAUAUUUAUGACAUUUCUAUAAAAGAUAUAAAUAUUAUUAGAUUAAUUAUUUAUAUAUUUUUAUACUAUAAAUUUACUUGAGACAUAACCUUGUUGUGUAUAGUUGAACUUGAAUAUAGAAAGCACAAGUUACUUUAAUUUAAAUAAAAAUUGUAAUUUAUCCUGUGUUGUAAUUAGUUAGUAGGGAUAGAUAUUGAGAUGAGAUGUAUAAUUUCUAUUUUAUAAAAUAUUUUUUGUAUUAUAUAAUUUAUAUGUUAUAAUUUAUCCAGUGUUGUAAUUAGUUAGUAGGGAUAGAUAUUGAGAUGAGAUGUAUAAUUUCUAUUUUAUAAUUUAUCUUUUGUAUUAUAUAAUUUAUAUGAUAUAAUUUAUUCUGUGUUGUAAUUAGUUAGUAGGGAUAGAUAUUGAGAUGAGAUGUAUAAUUUCUAUUUUAUAAUUUAUAUUUUGUAUUAUAUAAUUUAUAUGAUAUAAUUUAUCAUGUGUUGUAAUUAGUUAGUAGGGAUAGAUAUUGAGAUGAGAUGUAUAAUUUCUAUUUUAUAAUUUAUCUUUUGUAUUAUAUAAUUUAUAUGAUAUAAUUUAUCCUGUGUUGUAAUUAGUUAGUAGGGAUAGAUAUUGAGAUGAGAUGUAUAAUUUCUAUUUUAUAAUUUAUCUUUUGUAUUAUAUAGUUUAUAUGAUAUAAUUUAUCCUAUGUUGUAAUUAGUUAGUAGGGAUAGAUAUUGAGAUGAGAUGUAUAAUUUCUAUUUUAUAAUUUAUCUUUUGUAUUAUAUAAUUUAUAUGAUAUAAUUUAUCAUGUGUUGUAAUUAGUUAGUGGAGAUAGAUAUUGAGAUGAGAUGUAUAAUUUCUAUUUUGUAUUAUAUAAUUUAUAUGAUAUAAUUUAUCAUGUGUUGUAAUUAGUUAGUAGGGAUGGAUAUUGAGAUGAGAUGUAUAAUUUCUAUUUUAUAAUUUAUCUUUUGUAUUAUAUAAUUUAUAUGAUAUAAUUUAUCAUGUGUUGUAAUUAGUUAGUAGGGAUAGAUAUUGAGAUGAGAUGUAUAAUUUCUAUUUUAUAAUUUAUCUUAGUUGUUGUAUCGAAUAUUGUCUAAGUUUAGCCUAUCUAAAUAAUUUUUGUUGAUCGCGUCAAAAACUUUUAACACUUGAUUAAAUUUGCAGAAAUGGCCAAUCCGAAUGACAACAUGGAUGAUGCAAUGAUGGACCUACUCAACAGCGGUGCCAAUCCAGAUCCCCAAGGCGAAGAUGAUGGGAGUCAGUACUUUGCUGAUUAUGAAGAAUUUGUGGGAGACAAUCCUGAUCAGGUCUAUCUACAAUCUAGUAUAUAUGUAUAUAUAUGAAAUUAAAAUAAAUGACAUUUAUACUAAUAUAUUUAUACUUGUUUGUGUAGCCCUCUAAAUCGGCGACAACUUAUGAGAGAGUAGAAAAGUGCGCGGUCCGAAGAAGCCGUUGGAGGGUCGGUACAUUCUGUCGGAAUUCGAUGAGGGUACAGGACAAGUACUUGGAGCUAAUUCUAAAAAAUUUGUUGCGCACUGUGGCUACCUUGUAAGGGACAGGCUCCCGGUCAGUGCUCGUGAAUGGAGGCAACGGAAAGAUAACCCUAAUAUUAGUUUUGUCUCAGAUCGUGACAAGGAAUUGAUUUGGCAAGAUAUCCUUCAACAUUUCACGCUCGAUACACAGGAUGAAGCUUUGAAGGAGAAGGUUAAAAUCUGGGCUAUGCAGAAGAUGGCCAAACAAUUUCAGGCUUGGAGGAAGACAUUAUACAAGACUUUUGUUGCACAAGGCCGGACACCAGAUUUCACCAACAAGGCCUACGUCAAGUUGAGGCCUUUUUGGGAUGAGUUCGUAGAGUUUAAGAACUCAGAAGAGGGUCAGGCACGGAUGAUCAAGAAUCAAGAAAAUGCUAAACAAAAGCAAUACCACCAUCACUUGGGUUCAGGUGGCUACAGAACUGCUAUUCCUAAGUGGCAAAAGCUGGAACAGGAGAUUCUUGGGAGAGGGAUCGAACCAGAAUCAAUGCACUGGCCCGAGCGCGCCAAGUAUUGGUUCUUUGGUCAUGGGGGAACCAUAGACCUAGAGACCGGAAAGAUAGUGUACGGCGAAAAGCUCGAGAGAGUAGGACAGAGAAUGGCCUAUGCUAGAGGAUUAGUUGAAAGCGGCACCUGGCAGCCAAAUAGAGAAAAGGAUGAGCUGACAUACGCCCUGGAGACUGCUGAACACGGUGGGCGAACCAGAGGCUAUGGGGAGAUAUCAUGGGAGCAUGGCUUCCCUAAAGAUAGACCGACUUAUAGAAGCCGCCAACGAAAGAAGAAAGAGGAAGCAGAGCGGUUGCAUAGGUUGGAGGCAAUGGUGAUUGAGUCACGCGAAGCGGAUCGUAAAGCGAUAGCGCAAGAGAAAGCGCUUGAAGAGAGAAUGAACGAGGAGAUCAAAACACAAGUGCAGAUUACAGUAAGUUCUAUACAAGGGCAAACUGCAUCAGAGCCUAGAGUCAACAUUAGCCCCCCCCCCCCGGUCAGUUGAAAAGUAGUUGCGCUUCCACAGAGAUGCCAACUAUUCAAGACGACGUGGGGCUGCACUUUCCGGGGGAUGACAUCACUGAACCUCUGACAACAUGUGAGCUGCACAUUCCACAGGGGACUGCCACAGUCAUGGUUGCUGUCGCUGUUGUAACUCCUGUCGACCCUACGAGGACACCAAGAAUCCAUGGGGCGAUAGUUCCACCUGGAUAUGCUAGUGUCUCGGUGGAUAGAGUUGUCAAAGGCUUCAGUAAUGUGCAGCUUGAGAUAGAAGGAGGUGAUGGAGAGAAGACUCUAGGAGAAGCAGAGAAGACUUUUAUUUGUUGGCGCAAGCGCUACAUCAUUAUUCCUGGGGCAUCACCUAGUAGUCUACCACCACCUCCUUGUCAUGAAUCUAAUCCUAGGUGCGGAUGAAAAUUGACAAUACAUUUGUUCACUAAAUUUAUUUUGCAUUCUCUUAGUUAGCGGUUUACUCAUAUACCUUUUGUUUUCACAGGUGGUCACCGACAUGUCAUAGUGCUGCGGGUGAUGACGAGGGAGUGCAAGACACGGCUGCAUCGCCUCGAUCUCCAACGCCACCACCUAGGGCUCUAACACCGCCACCUCGGGCUCCAACACCGCCACCUCAGGCACCAACACCGCCACCUAGGGCUCCAACGCCACCUAGGGCUCCAACACCGCCUCCUCGGGCUCCAACACCGCCACCGGCCGCCCCAUCGCCUCCACACGUGGCUCCAGCACGAAAGAAGAGGCCGGCCACACAAUCAAAUGUGUCGGCCGCCCCGCCGCAAAAAAGAAAGCCUCCGAAAAGAAACAAGCUAUCAUUCCUAAGAAGCUGUCCAAUGAGAAGACUGAUGCAGAACUAAAUGCUUCAGUAAAAUCAGACGUGGAUAGUUUCUUCAAGAAACUUAAGACUGAAAGAGAAGCCAAGCGAAACCUUGAGAAGCCGUACCUCUUACUACGGCCAUAAGAUCUACGACAAAGGGUUGAGGUUGAACAAAAAAAGAGACAUGAAGCUCAGAAAGAAUCAUCAUCUUUAUCGGACUAUGAUCGCACUUUAAGAAAAUCCCUAGAAGAAGAGAAUAAGAAAGAGAAAAGAGCACGCAAGGGUGUAGCACAGCUCGGGGAACAAUCAAAGCAAUCAGUGCCCCCGCUAGUCAUUGGAAAUGAAUAUGGUUCAAACAUUGACGUGCUAGACCAGCAGAUACCGGCAGAUUUAAAAUUUGAAGAGCUUGAAAAUUUUUUGCGGAAACUGGUCUUAGCUUAGCCCAAAUGAUAGCAGGGGCAUCAAUUGAAAGUGCUCCACAAAUUGAUCAUUGGCAGAAGGAAUAUACAUAUGACAAGAGUUUAUACAACCCUGCGGCCCUCAACAAGCUUGGAACGCAAAUGUACAUGCUAAACAAAUGGUACAUGGAAGCGUGUGUCAGAAAAGCAGAUGACUAUAUUUGUGUCCGAAUUAGAAACUAUCAUUACUUCCAUGGUGAUGAUAUUAUUUAUGUUCAAUUGAAUGAGCUACACCAACUAUGCCACAUGGACGCUCGACAAAUCUCUAAUGAGUUGCUUCUGUCUGUAAAUGAUUCUUCCUUUCAAUAAUGUCUCUGUAACUUAUCAUGUAUAUAUAUAACUAAUUACAGAAACCCGUUAUACAUAUGCAGAAACAUGAUGAGGGACCUUAGAGUUAGAAAUGACAAGGAGAUUGGAUUUGUGGAUCCAAAUGUUGUAUUCAAAGACCACAAGACCCCGUAUGUUUUAUGGAGAACUCAAACGGAGAGAAAUCUACGGAGGUUCUUGAUCAACCAAAAAGAUAAAAGAUAUAUACUCUUUCCCUACAACUUUAAGUAAGUGUCGUUAUCGUGUGUACAUUCUAUUUAACUAAUUAAUCAGAUCAAUAUGAAGAUAUAUACUAAUUUUGCCUACAUAUGCACACAAAUGCAGCUUUCAUUGGAUACUAGUUGUCAUUGAUCUCUGGCAAUGUCAAUUGGUAAUCUAUGACUCAUUGAGAAAACUACAUGAUGAUUACUGUUGAUAUUUGGGAACGCAAUAAGGAAUUGAUCCGCAAGCGCACGGAUAUCGGUGAGCACUUCACCCGGGAAAUUAUCCAGAGUAUCGUAUUUAUUUUUUUUACCACUAGGAGAAAGAGUGCAUCUGACUAACCGGUCUAUUACUACUAACCUUUAGGCACAAAGAAUGUCUUUCGAUGUGAGUGAUAAAUAGAUAAGACUGCAACCGUAGUCUCCUUCUAACCUUGGUAAGGAUGAUCUACUGUUCUAAUGGGGAGGCUAACGUAAUCUAGACACCACAAAGGAUGUUCAACCCGCACCUAUAAACCCUAUCCUUCCUGCUAACGAGAUGUGAUCUACAAAGGUAGCUCGGAAUUGUCACGUUCCUCACUACUACCACGGUCCAGCUAGUCAGGGAAUAUCUAUGAGUACCCCAGCCUAAACACCACGUUUACGCCAGCAAUGAUUACUCUAAACUCUACGCGAAGAGAUUAAAGUUAACUCAUAUACCAUAAGAACAAUAAAACAAGAACUUACUAGAAUUUAGAAGUCGAAUUACUGAAGAAUCCUAGGAGCAAGAUUCGGGUUAGGAGAACUUGAUCCCGCAGGUACAAGCUUGGAGUAGACACCGACAGGCCGGGCUUCCUCCAAUCUAUACCUCCACUCUAUCUCUCUCAAUCUAGUAGAAACUAGAAGAUCUAUUUCUACCUUACAUUGAUUGCUAAGCCUAAAAAGAAAUAUUAAUUAGAGAAGAGGUUUUCCUUCGAGGGCACCCCUCAGUCUCUAUGAUAAUUUCUUCAUGUCUUCUCCAGGGGCCAGGGGGGUCUCCUUAUAUAGUCCUCCUCUUCUAUGCGUUUUUGGGUCGAUAGGCGAGGUGGUACUAUGUUUUUCUUGAUCCAAUAGGUCGGUGGAAUAUUCCGAGCGAAGAGAGUCCUGAUUGGCAUCCAGAGGGGGGCGGGCGCCCAGGUCACCAGGGCGGGCGCCCUGGGCCUGGCCCCUUUCGGCCUCCGUCUUCUUCCCGUGGCUUCUGGAGUCUUCUAGAUGGUGGAAAAUCGUGCGGUGCGUUGAUAUCUCUAUGUAAUCCCGACAUGUGGGCCUUUCUUCCUUAUUUCCUGAUAACCCCCUGCAGAAAUAGAUAAACAACAAAACUCGUGGAAUUCUGUCAGAUCAAACCCUAAUUCUAGGUGUUAGUUGCAUAUUGGUCCUUUCUCUUGUUUAUUUGAUAAUUAAAAUUGAUACUUAAGAACCGUCAACAAUUACCAAGAAAUGAUAGAUAUUAUCCAAGGGUAACUCCGAUCUCUAUAUAUUAAAUUCUGCUCUUUUAACUUGGUAAUGGAUAAUUAAUAAUGAUCGUUUUAUUGCUAGGGUUUGGGCUGGGUUCGUGCAGAAACACCGUCCAGAGUUGAAUGCAGCACUUUCAAAGCCAAUCUUACUUCAGUAGGUUCUACGACAGACACUGGGCAACAAUUUGUGUGGCUACUAUGUGUGCGAGUUUAUGACGGUGUAUGCCAAAAGAACUAAUCUUGAGCACCUAAAAGUAUGUAACAUGUAUAUAUAAUAAGUUUAUUUCAUUUAUUUGUUGCUAUUUAAUAAAUCCUAUUCAUACCUCUAACUUUUUUCUUUAAUGUCUAUUAAAGGAGAUGUGGCUGAAGGAGCAGGUGUUGGAUGCGGUGCACCUAAAAGGAAUUCAGGAGACAAUCACAGGAUUUCUUAACGACCAAGUCCUGGAUUCCGGCGGCGAGUGCUACUUCAACCCUCAGGAGCAGAUGAAACCAAAUAACGAUGAUCAUUUGUACGAUGCUUGAGUGGUGGAGAUAAAUUGUGUUGUAAAUACUUUGUCCGUGAAGCAUAUGUGUAAAUAUUUUAUUAUGGACCUAUAGAUACAUAUUAUUUUUAUAUAUAUAGUGUUUUAUAGUAUAUUUAUAUGUAAUCAUUUAAAUUAUAUAAAUUAUAGGUGCGCGUUCCAUAAACUACCAGCAAACAAUACGCAUUCGAAAAUAACAAUAACAUAAUUGUAAACCCUAAAUGGAAAACCAAAUGAAAAGAAAAAGAAAAAAGAAAAAAGACUUUAGUCCCGGUUGGUAGCAACAACCGGGACUAAAAGUGGAGGCCAGGUGGCACACCCUGGCGCACCUUUUAGUCCCGGUUGCUGUUACCAACCGGGACUAAAGGUGGACCUUUAGUCCCGGUCUACGGAAUCGGGACUAAAGGUGGGACAUUUAGUCUCGAAACCUUAGCUCCGGUUUCCGUAGCCGGGACUAAAGGCGCUUACGGCCCGGGGCUAAAGCCCUUCCCUGUACUAGUGUAGUUGGGGAGUGAAAAGUUUUUAAGUGUCAUAUUGGAUGUUUUAUAAGAUGUUGGAAGAAGUAUUUAGAUACUAAAAAAACUAAUUACAUAGCUCACUUGAAAACUGCGAGACGAAUUUAUUAAAUCUAAUUAAUUCAUCAUUAGCACAUAUAAGUUAUUGUAGGACUAAUUAGGCUUAAAAGAUCCGUCUCGCGAUUUACAAUCAAAUUGUUCAAUUAGUUUUUGUUUUUGUAUACAUUUAAUGCUUCAUGCAUGUGUCCCAAGAUUCGAUGUGAUGGAUAAAAUUUUUUUGAAUGGAAACUAAGGCCUUGUUUAGAUCUAUUUUUUUACAUUGUAGCACUUUCGUUUUUAUUUGACAAGCAUUAUUCAAUCAUGGAGUAAUUAGGCUUAGAAGAUUCGUCUCGCGAUUUACAAGCAAAUUAUACAAAUUAAUUUUUGUUUUCAUCUAUAUUUCAUGCUUCAUGUAUGUGCCAUAAAAUUUGAUGUGAAUGAGAAUUUUAAAAAAUUUUUAGUCUUUAGAGUGAACUAAACAAGGGCUAAACAAGCCUUGGUUGGUUGGAAGCGAAGCUAGAAAUGGACGAUGCCAGGUGGUUGGUGUGGGUGGCGUUGGGGGCACACUGGUGGUCUCGUGAGCGUCCUCGCGAGACUUGCGAAGGUGAGCAUCUGCCAAAAUCUGCUUCAUGCCUUAUGUUAGGUGCAGGGUUAUUUUGGUCUUUUCUUGCUGCCUGGGUAAAAAUAAGAAUAUAUUAAAAUAAGGUCUUGUUUCCUCUCGGGAUUCGGCGCUUUUAAGAAGAUUAAGUGUAUAUUUUCUAUUGCGCCGGUGGGAAAUUUGGAGAAAUCGCGGGAUCGGACGCAGUGCGUGGAGGCACCGAACGCUGGCCUGAGCGUCCGGUGUGCUGUCAGUGCUUGGCCCUAUUAGUGUUGAGCACCGGACGCACUGCAGCAGACGCAGAGUGUUUUCUGUUCAUGCGUCCGGUGUGGCCUGACUUAAGCAAAGGUUGUUUGUCAGAGAGCACCGGACGCUCUGAGUGCGUCCGGUGGUGUGCGUCUGGUGUGAGGGAGUUUUGUAACCCUCUCUGCGCACGAGUCCGGUGAGCACCGGAGCGUCCGGUGCUCAGAGUCCGGUGAGAUCUGAGUUUUUACAAACUCUCUACGCACGAGUCUGGUGCUCACUUGGUCGCGUCCGGUAGUCCACAGGUGACCGUUAGAGUCUGACGCGCGAGAUUCAAAGGAGGACACGUGGCCAAUCUCAGAGCACCGGACGCAGGGGGUCGAGCGUCCGAUGAUCACUUGGUAGCGUCCGGUGCCCCCGAUUUCAGCCCAGUGAAAAAGUCAACGACUCUAUUUGUUGAGGGGGCUUAUAAAUAGAAGGUGGCCGGCUUUGGGAGGCUAACUCUUGCACAUUUGAAUACUUAAGGCAUACUUUGAGCUAAAGAACACUCCCUCCACUCAUCUCCUUUCUUAAUUGCUAAUCUUUGUGAGAUUGAGUGAGAUUCAAGUACUUUGCUUUGAGAGUUGCAUCUAGUGGCACUUGAUUCUUGACUUUGUUGCGGAUUUCUUGUUACUCUCGGGUGUUUUCCGAUGCCCUAGAUGGCUUGGAGCAGCGGUGGUGUUGAGCUCGUGAUUGGAGAUUGUUUCGAGCCUCACCAAGUGUUCUGUGAGGGGUUCUUGAGCCUUCCCCGCGGGAGAUCGCAAUUGGCUACUCUAAUAGAUUGCUAGUGGCUUGUAAGAUCCUCAUCUUGUGAGUGGAUGUGCGGCACCCACUGAGGGUUUGGCUUUGGAUUGCCAAUUAGCUCGUGAUCCAUCAAGUGGGUGUAUCGCCACAACGAGGACUAGCUUGCCGGGAAGCAAGUGAACCUCGGUAAAAAAUCUUGUGUCAUCUCUUGCCGAGGAUUCUCUUGUGAUUGUGAGUGAUUGGUUGGAUAUAUCUCUACUCUACAACGUUGGUUUAACAAUCACUCUCAACUCCUUUACUUACUUGUAUACCUUGCUGCUAGUUGUUUAGUUUAGUCUUCUUGUUUAGGAGUGAAAUUAGCUCUCUCGUGUUGUUGUGUUUUAGUGUUUAGCCUUGUACUAGUUUGUAUAGGUGGCUUGCAUAGCUUAGUUGAGCUAGUGCUAGAAUUGCUUCGCCAUUUGUUUAACUAACUCACUUGCUUAGUGAAGUUUGUAGAAUUAUUCAUCUCCCUCUAGCUAUUUGGACCUUUCACAUAUAGACUUUACUUGGCAUAGCUCAACUUCACUACUGAAGUUAUUUCUUGUAGAAAAGAGUUUUAUGAACAACUGUUUAAAUAAAGUCGAGCUGUUUUGAAAAAGCUACUCCCUCCAUCCCAAAUUGUAAGUCAUUCCAAGAAUCUUGGAGAGUCAAACUUUUCUAAAUUUGAUCAAAUUUAUAUUAUAAAAUAAUAAUUAUUAUGAUACUAAUUAAGUAUCAUUAGAUUCUUUCUUAAUUAUAUGUUCAUAGUAUAUUCACUUUACGUUACAAAUCUUAAUAUUUUUCUCUAUAAUUUUGGUCAAACAUUAAAAUGCUUUGACUCUCCAAGAUUCUUGGAAUGACUUACAAUUUGGGAUGGAGGGAGUAUUUGGCAAACAGCUUCGCUAGCAAUUUCAUGCAUAGAUAAAAGAAAAAAAAUGAGAGAUAGCUAGAAUAAGCUAUUUUUCGAGCGUUAUCUAAACUCAUGUCUUUGUAAGUAAAAAACAUUACUGCACCUAUAAAGCUGUUUUGAAAAAUAGUAUUCGGAUAAAUUACUAUAAUCCAAAAAUCACCGUAUUGCUGCAUUCUAAAUUUGCAAUAUUAAUUUAUUUUAAAAACAAAAUCACAUUUUAGUUGCUUAUUAUAAGAUUUAUUACAAAAUCCCUGGUACUGAUUUCAGUUCGGGUUUCCGUGUCCAUUUCCCUUCUCUCACAGUCAACAGGACCCCGAACCCUAAAACCUCCAAACCCCAGCAAUGGCGGAUUGCCCCUCGUUCCGCCGCCACCCGCUCGCCUCCUCCAUCGACCUCGUCCGCUGGCUCCCAUCCUCCUCCACCUCCCCUUCCGGUCGCCUCCUCGCCGCUGCCGCCCACGACCCCACCUCCGCCCCCGCCGCCUCCAGCAUCCACCUUCUCCCCCUCUCCGACCCCGGCUCCCCGCUCGCCUCCCUCCCGCUCCCGUCCCGCGCCACGGCACUCCGCUGCUCCACUGCUGCGCUCGCCGCUGCCACCUCCUCGGGUUCGCUCCACUUCCUCCCCUCCUCGUUUGACUCGGACGCCGCAGUGUCCGUCCCCGGCGGCGCGGGCUUCCAUGUGGGCCCUGUCCGGGGCCUCGACUGCGGCGGGGAGGAGUGGGUCACAGCGGGGGAGGACGGAAGAGUGCAUGUGGUCGGCGGCGCAGCGGACGGGAGAGUGGUGGCGAGGAGGGUGUGGGACGGGAAAGGAAUGUCAGGGUAUGAAGCCGCCAGGUGGGCGUCGCCGGUGGAGUUCGCCACGGGGGGCGCCGGAUGUGGCGUGCAAUGGUGGGAUCGGAGGAAAGGGGACGCCGUCGUGGCGCAGUGUAACGGCAUCUGGUGAGUGUAGGAAAGCCUGGAUCUAUAGGGUUGUCUUUCUGGUUUAUGUUCCUGUUAACGAUGGAUUUCUGGUAGUUGUAAUAGAUUAUUUUUGUGGUUUUCUUGUGGAUUGGUACGUUAUCUCAGCACCUUUGAAAAUAUUGGCACAUCCACACAUUACUUUGAUGAACAUGUUUCACGAACAUUUUAGUUAUGUCAGCACCUUUCAAAAUAUUGCACAUCCACACAUUAGUUUGAUUAACAUGUUUCACAAACACUUUAGUUAUGUCUGUACCUUUCAAAAUAUUUUCACAUCCAUAUCUUCCAUUAUGGAAGCGGGAAGCCUAACUCAAUGUUCACCAUUUGUAAUAAAUGUUCCUAGCCAUGCAUAAGCUCUGGUGCAGAGGUCAGAUUAUUGUGCAUCUCUAUCAUUUUUUUUAUGUUUUGGCUGUGCACUACCAAAGAUGGUUUCAGUAGGUUUGGUGCAUGCCUGUUAAUAUUGAAGAUACUUUCUGGAUGGUUUCAUGCAUGUCUGUUACUAUCUUUGUUCUGAACUGAUAAAUGAGACUGUCAUUUCAGUUUAUUGUAGCAGUGCAAUAGUUGUAGUCACUGCUUGGUUUCAUUCCAAUCUCACCCACUCCACUUCUAUGUGAGUACAUUUGUAAGAUCUUGAUGACAUCUGUGAAUUGUGGUUAAAAGAAAAUCUGGUGUACCAAAAUCAUGCUUAUUCUCCAAAACUCACGUCAUGCAUUAGAGGUUUCUGGUACAUACACAGAAAGAUUACAUUGAGCCAUUGAGGUGAAAUUUAUAGGUUUAAAUUUGUUUUCAACUGGUGUCUGAACCAUAUAUUCUACAAGAUCAAAGUAGUUUUUGUAUCUUAAUUGAACCAGCUCUGGUGGCCUCCUGUAAUUGCCCUCUUUAAAGUGAGUUAACUAUGCUGCUAACAGAUGAGAUAAAAUAGAAAAUAUCGAACUCCAAACAUUCUUGUUGUCAUAUGUUUUUCAUUGUACCUGUUAUGCCAAGCGCUGCUAUCUUGCUGACAAUGGGUGAACUUGCAAAUACAGGGGUCAUGGCAUAGUUACUGGCAUGGUGCAUUCCAUUGACAUUCAUCCGUCAAGAAAGCAUAUCUGUGUGGUAAGAUCAAUAUGUGGUAGCAAAUGCAAGUUUACUUUGAAUAAAUAAAUGAUUUUAGUUAUGUGUUAUGUUCCAUCUUAAUAGUUUUGAGGAUCUAACCUCUAGGAUAACCAAUCGUCCCAAGUACCAUGUAACUUAGUGAUGAACUGAUUUAGGUUGUUGAUGGUUGAGCAAAUUAAUGUACACCAAUAAGCUUCCAUUUGAAAUAUGGAAUUCAUUCAGGAAAUAACCUGUCUAGUACCAACUAUAUCAAGCAGCGUUCAAUCUUUUUUCCCCAAAAUUCCUUUGAAAAUUCAUAUAUAUCCCAAACAGGUCUUGUUUUUUUCAGUAAGAGGUAACCUACAUCAAUUCACUAGAGAAAUCUUGCAAUUGAAGUUUAGACAAAUAGAAAAGAAUCAAGCACCUUGUUUGUCAGUUUCAGUUGUGUUAUUUUCUGGCUUCGAGCCUUCGACGGUUCAGCCAGUGAUGUUAUUUUCUGACUUCAGCCUCAGAGCUAGUAAUUAAUACCUUUGUAAUGAUUUCCAUGUUGAAAAGAAGCUUACCUUGUGUAUAACCCAAAGCAUUUAAAUUGAAAAUACAAAACUAUGAUCUAUAUACACCUUGAAUGCAUUAGGUUAUAUUUGUCGAAGCAGUUUCACUUUCUAUAUUUUCCAAAUGUAAAAUGUUCUUAACAGAGCAGCUUUUUCAUGCAAUCAAGAACCAGAAGGUUAUGUUGGCUUACCUUUUUUUCUGAAACUGAUUUGCUGUUUUGUAGAAUUAUUUUGCCCUAUGAUAUGAAAUAUCCAAAUUCAUUGAAAUAUUUAGUUAAAUUGAGAUGAGUUGGUUAAUGUACCAGUGUCCAUGCCCUCUAGUGUAUGCUCUUGCACCCGUGUAUACCUAAUAAAUGAGCCUGAGCAGUGAGGCAUAUCGGGCCUAGAGGACUCUAGCUAACGUAGUCCACUGGGAGCUUGGACUCUAUGGAUGCAGGUCACUGCAUUGCUGACAGUGAGGAGCAGAAAACUCAUGCUAUUGCUAGUGCGCAGACCCUACCGCUCCAGUUUUAGUCCACCCAUGUUGAGCACAUAGUUGAAAUGAGUUUUAUGGGUGUGAUUACAUGAGUCAUAUCUGCAGCAUGGCUCAUCUCUGAAUGUUUGCAGGUGGGAGGCUCAUCAGGGACCAUAUUUGCCUGGGAUCUGCGGUGGCCACAGCAGCCGAUACCACUCUCUGGUGUAGGCCUUAAUAGAACAGCUGAGCCUGUGUGUGAAAGUGAGGUGUGGGAGGUUCUUUUUGACACUUGCACUCAGUCUUCUGAUAUCAUCUCAUCUGCAUCUGCAAGAAUAUUGCCAGUGAUGAUGUGUUCAGAGGAUGGGAUCCUUGCAGUUGUCGAACAAGGUAAGUGAGAUGUACAUGUAGCGUUCGGAUUGUUGGUGUUUAGUGUUUACUCAUCUUUAAUUAAUGUGCCUUUUUCCGAUUAGCAGAUGAGAGACCCCUUGAAUUGCUUGCUGAAGCUUGUGCUAUCAACUCCUUUGACAUAGAUCCUCAGAACCCCUCUGUAAGUCCUUGACUUCACCUGGUCAAGUGAAAAGUUUUUUGUUAUUUUUUGAGGGGUAACAGUUUUUAUUAUUUAUAGGUAAUGUCAGUAUGUUGUGUUAAUACUGUUAUGGAUUUGUCGCAGGAUGUUGUUUGUGCAUUGGAAUGGGAAUCGAUCGGUGUCCUAACUCGUGGUAGAGAUGCAAUGGCAGAAUAAUGAAAUUUUUCACCACCCAGGGAUUCCAAUCAGAAUUUUCUGCAAGGUGGCUGAAACUACUGUCAGAAAGAAUCUUCUGACUUCUGAGGGCUUCAUAUUCAGGGACCAUUCUCAUGGUAUUGGGCAACGGUAGAAGGAAUAAAGCGUGCUUGACGAGUGCUCUUUCCUGUCUCUGCAUACUAACCAGGUUUUACUUAUUAUGAGCUUCUGUUGUCAUGGGUAACUGCAGAUUGUAGAAACAUUUUCUGGUGUAGCUCCAAGUUGUGUAAUUGGUUCACUAUUGGAUGCUAACUGCUGACAGUUUGAAGGAGAGUCAUCACAAACAAUUCAUUCCUUUUAGUUGGGGGCUGAUGGACUCAAGGGGCUGUUUGGUUCUUGUGGCGUAUAUUUACACUGCAUGUGCAUGUGGCUGCCACAGUCUAUAGAGCGAACCAAACAGCUGGUUCGCCUUGUGUGGCGUGCAGUAGGUUAGGCUGGCGGAGUGCGGUGUGGAACCAAACAGCCGGUUGAGCUAUAGUUUGUUUCAUAAUGUUUGCGUUUUCCCUAGCACGCCAUGUGGUGUUAAAUCAGCUCCUGAACAUUAUGGACUCCAUUACGUAUUUUAUUCAUCUGGUUGACAAUUUAGAAAUUCUUGUUACUAAUGCAUAACUGAUGAAUCUGAAGGUGGACACGGCUUGUCGAGUGGUACAUCGAUCUAUGUAAUCUAAAGCCAAGGGCAAGACAUCGACAGCUCACACUGGUGCUAUGUAAAUUUUGAAAUAGAAGGCUGUAAAUUUUGAAUAGCGCUUUUUUUUAAUAACAAACAACUUCAUAUAUUAGCAGCAAUGUGCUGCUGAAAUGAUUAAAUCGUUCAAGCGUACCUCAAGAAGGGCUUAGCAACACUGGGGUACAUGAUGCUCAGAUGAGCAUAAAAAGUAAGGUUCCCUGUGAGCUGAGUUCCUGGAAUGCCUAGUAUGAGCUGUAGAGUUUAAGCUUCCGUGGAUCUCGUGGGUAGUAGCUGAAGAAGAGACUGCAUUAUUUGUGUUGAAAGUGAAUGUAAAUUAAUUGCUAAUCUCUAACACUAAUCGUAACUGUUUGUAUGGAUGUCGUACGGAUGAGAUCAUCAGUGAAUGGAUGCCUACUAGGAUUAGGCGUUUCACAACACUCCCCCUUGAUUGAAUCUUCUUUGAUAUUGAUGUAGCUGUAAACUUGGAUUUCUUGAAAAAACCUGUGAGAAAUCUGAGGAAUAUAUAUGUAUAGGUAUAUCAUAAAAGUUCCUUUAAACCUUAUAGGUAAAUAGAGAAAAUAGCAUAUAUGAGUGUGAUUUAAAUAAAUCAUUAUGUCAUUGGUAUCCCAUUAAAAACCCUAGUAGGGAAAAAUAUUGGAGAUAUGACAUAUUGAUUACUCCUCCCAAAACCCUUUUUAGGAAAAAAUAUGAGGAGCAAUAUAAAAUGAUAUGCCGCUAAAACUUCUAUAAAAACUUAGUGGGAAAAUUAGGAUAAAAUGUGACAACCGGUAUUGCCUCUUGGAUAACUCCCACCAAAAAACUUUGCAGGGAAAAACCAUGGAUGAGUUAUGAAGGCAAUGUGUGUCUUUGAUAUUUCCCACAAAAACCCCAAUGGGGAAAAUAGAAAAUAUGACAUAUGCUUAUGUUAAUAUUACCUCAUUAGAAACUUUGACAAGAAACCUUUUGAGUAAAACUUAUAAAAUAAAAGAGUAUAAUAUGAUGCUGGUACAGGUGGCAUUUAGGAGAUGUCUUCUCUUGAUUCUGGCAAAUCUCGAAGUCGUCGCAUACCAAUUCAUGUCAUUUGAGAUUGCAAUUUUACCAAGCCCCUUGACCUUGCCUUUCUUGUUGUUGCCGAAGGUGAUAGAAUCAAAGCCACCAUUUUGAUUUGUAUCAAUUGAUUUGAACAUACAAGACUCUCCAGCCAUAUGUUGAGUGCACCCACUAUCAAGCACCCAAUGUCUUCCUCCGGCUUUGUAAUUAACCUACAAGUCAAGAUCAAUUCCUUUUAGGUACCCAAAUUUGAUUGGGUCCUCUAAGGUUAGCAACUAAGCUCUUUGUUACCCAAAUGACUUUCUUAUUUGAACCCAUCCAUGGUGCACAAAUGAACUUAGCAUGAACACCUUUUGUAUACUUGGUAAGUACAUAGAAAGAAUUAAGCUUAACUCAUGUAUUGUUGCUCUAGGUGACCAACUUGCUUGCAAGCUUUGCAAUACCAACCAUUGUUCUUCACAAAACAUGUCUUGUGAGGAGCAAAGGCGGCCUUGCCUUUCUUGGGGUUAUAGCCCAAUCCCUCUUUGUAGAGAGAAGCUCUUUGGCUACCUAAGCACAUAAGCAAGCGGUCCUCACCACCAUAGGCCUUAGCUAAGGUGUGAUUGAGCUCUUUCACCUCCUUCUUGAGAAUUUCAUUCUCAACCAUCAGUGUGGAGUCACAAGUGAAACCAUCAAUACUAGAUGAGGAUGAUGUAGAUGUGCUACAUGAAGGGUUAGUUGAAGCAAUAACAAUAGGCUUACUUAAGAUAUCACAUGUUAUGCCUAUGUUGCAAGUUUGAGCUUUUUCAGUUUUAGUUGGCAUGGAUUCACAUUUGUCAACUAGAGAGGAAGGAGCUUCUUCAAGCUUAGUGUGAGCCUUUUGAAGCUUCUUAUGGUCUUCCUUUAGAUUCUCAUAAGAUGCUCUAAGCUCAUCAAGUUCUUGCUCAAGGGUUUUCUUAUCCUUAAGUAAGGCCUUGCAUUCCUUCCUAGAUUUUUUAAAGUGUUGUGUGCAAUCUUCUAGCAUAGUGAUUAGUUCAUCUUUAGUUGGUUCAUCAUCAUCACUAUCACUAUCAUUAGCAUGAUCACUCUCAUCAUCGGAUGAUACCUUAGUGGUGUUAGCCAUGAAGCAUGAAGAAGUGUCGAAGAUGGAGCUCUUUCCUUGAAUUGCAAUGCUAGCAUGCCCCUUCUUCUUGGUGCUCUCAUCAUCACUUGAGGAGUCAUCACUAUCCCAAGUUGCAACAUGGGCAUCACUGAAAGGUCCUUGUUUGGUUUUGGUAAUUGAGUGACAACUUAGGUGGACUAAUAGUGUUUAUGUGAGAUACACAGGAGAUUAGUCCACAGGUGAUGAUGCGAUGAUGGAGGAGCUCAUUGCACAUGAGACAUGACAUGGAGUCAUGUGACCAAGGUGGAGAAGAUCAAGAUGAGGCUUGGCUUGAUGGACCGAUUGCAAGAGUGAAGGGCAAGUCGGAGGCUUUGAAGCGAGGGACCGCGUGUGACGGUGAAGCUUGAGCAAGACUUGGCGCCGAUGGACCGAGGCAACGGUGAAGAGCAAGUGAGGUCAAGAUCGAUGAACCAAUACGAUCACGUGAUGAUAUGAAGUGGAUCAUAUCAUUUGGUGAUUGGUUGGUGCAUGUGUUGCAUCAAUAUUGGAGGAGAUAGAAUGGAAAGCGCAAGGCAAAGGUAUAACCUAGGGCAUUUCCAUUUCACCGGUCAUAGGUGUGUAGAGAAGUUUAUGACUAGAUUUAGGAUAGAUGGCCGUACUAUCAAGAGGGGCAAACUUGUUUGCAUAUCGGUCAUCUAGUGCCACUUGAGCGAUCUAACUUUGCAUACGUGUUAGAAUCGAGUGGCGUGGCAAGUUGAGAGGCUAACUCCUUUGGGAAAAUGUUUGUGAAAAGCUAACACACUUGCACUUUGGUGGUGGACACUUGUUGGUGUUAGCACAUUUGCAAAGGAGGUGGAGUUCCUAGGGUUGAGAGGGGUGUGGGUUCCUCGGCGCUUUUGAGAAAAUUAAGUGCAUAUUUUCUAUUGCGCCGGUGGGAAAUUUGGAGAAGUCACGGGAGUGUUUCUCAGUAGGAAACACUCACCGGA
rnacentral:lncRNA from 1 species